UUUUGGAUUGGAGAAAACGCUUUAAUAUUAUUGAAGGGAUCAGUCGAGGAUUGCUUUAUCUUCAUAGAGAUUCAAGAUUGAAAAUUAUACACAGAGAUCUAAAAGCAAGUAAUGUUUUACUUGACCAAGAGCUAAACCCAAAAAUUUCAGAUUUUGGGAUAGCCAGGAUCUUCGGAGGUGACGAAAAUCAAGCCAACACUAAAAGGGUUGUUGGAACUUAGUAAGUUGGAACUUCCUUCCUACCAUUUCUUUUUAUGCUCUUUUUAAUAAAAUAUGGUAUAAAUAUAUCUAUGGUCAGAUUUAGUGCUUAAAGAUGAUACAUGUACAUACUUGUAUCGAGUUAAUUUUGUUCAAUUUGUGGACUCAAUUUAUUGUUUUUAAUUUUAUAAAUAAAAUAUUAAAAACAUAUUUUUAUUUUUUUUAUAGUUAACUUUAAAUUAUUUAUUAUUUAUUCUUAAUUCAGGUUGGCUCGUGGACAAGUUUAAAUAAGAGUUGUAAUUGGUGCUGUUUUUUAUGUUAAAUACAGUGGUUAUAUGUCUCCUGAAUAUGUAAUGCAUGGGCGAUUUUCAGAGAAAUCUGACGUGUUCAGCUACAGAGUUCUACUAUUGGAGAUUGUUAGUGGAAGAAGAAACAAAAGCUUUUACAACAAGGAUGACCUUAGCCUCUUGGGAUAUAUGUAAGUUUAUAAAAUAGUUAGAGAUGUUGUGGAUGAAAUUAGGGUGUAAGAUUUUGUAUUUGCGAGCUAUUCGGGUUCGGUUUGAAAAAACUUGAAUUUAGCUCUGUAAUUAUUGAGUUAAGCGAUCAUGUGAAUUGAAUUUGAGCAUCUUAAUACUUGAAUUGAGUAGCUUGCAAGUGAAUUUCAAGAACCCUAAUACUUGAAUUGCGUAGCUUGCAAUGGUUUUCAAUCUUUAAUCAAUAUUGAAAAUUUUCAGUUCAAACUUGAGCUUAAUUACAAGUAAUCAAGUUUGAAGUUAUACAUAGGAGUGAAGCUCAUUGUAGACUUAGGUAAAACAAGCAGAGUUAAAACACUUCAAUUAAUUCUAUUAAAGCUUUAAGGGUAAAAAUUUGAGUCAAGUUAAGCCAAAUGAUUUAGGCAUUAAUUUAGAUAAUAUUGUUUACUGUUUCAGGUCUGGAAAUUAUGGAAUGAAGGCAACAUUUGGGACUUAGUAGACAAGGUGAUUUCAAAGUCGGAAUCAGAUUUAAAGAAUAAGAAAGAAAUAUGGAGAUGCAUACAUGUUGGAUUGCUAUGCGUUCAAGAAUAUGCUAAAGAUAGACCCACUAUGUCUACUAUUGUUUCAAUGCUUAACAGUGAGAUUUCAGAUCUUAACACUCCAAAACAACCUGCUUUCACUCAAGCACUAUUAAUUAGCGAUGAUUUUGAAGAUUGUGUUUCAUUUAAUGAUGUAACUCUGACGGGCUUUGAUGGUCGAUAAAGAUACAAAUUAAUUAUUUGUAGUGUUUACAAUUAAAGUUCAAGCAGUAAAAUUUUUUUUUAUAUUAUGUUUUGAUAUGUUUUUAUCAUUUUAUUUUGAUCAUAAUUUGUCAUUUUAUUUUUUUCAUUCUAGAGUGAAUUUACCAUUAUAUUUAAACAUGGUAGCUUUGUCCCAAACUUGAAAAUUCGAUUUUAUCAAAUCCAAACUUAAACUUGACCUAACUUGAAUUGAAUAUAAAAAAUUAAGAAUUUGAACCCGUUCACCUUAAACUCAAAAAUGAUCUAAAACCUAAAAUGAUUUUAAUUUAAAGUGACCAAAUUCAAAAUUUCUUAAAUAAACUCGAAAUGUUCAGAGCAUAAUAUGACCUAACUUGAAAAACCCAACUUACAAAUCCACUUGAACCCAAAAUAGCUUCAACCUUAAACUAAUUCAAAUUCAAAAUUACUCAAAUUUUAAAAUUUGAAUUUAGUUCAUUCAAAACCAGUCCAAAAUAAAUUCAGUUAUACUUUAUGUCACCAUUUGUGAUGAUUAUCACUUUUGUUUAUUGAAUUUUGCGGGGUAAAAAAGCUCAUGAAGUUUCUAAAAAAAUUAUUAAGUCAUUCGACAAAAAAUGCAUUCAAUUUAAUCAAUGAAAUCCGUCCUUGAUAAUUACUUUUGUUAAAAGUUGGUGAUGUGGUAGUUAAUAAUUGUCAAAUCAUUCAUUUUCUUUCAAGCGCAGUCCAAAGUAGUAGAUAAUGUGUCAACUUAAUGACAUGGGAAUUGGGGAAUAAAUUUAAAGAGAUUAUUAAUUAAACUAUUAAAUGUAAUUAAUUAAAGUUAAUGAUAGUUGUCAAAUCAUUCGUUUUCUUCCAAGUGGCAAGCAUGACCGAUCGGUACAUCCAAACCUAAUCAUAAAGAAUAAAAUAAUAGCACCAAAUUUUGAUGGGUGUCAUCCACCAAAAAUAAAAUAUCUAUGCCUAAAAUUGAAAUCAAAUUUAAAUGUAGGAAGUAAGUUCAAUCCCAUAAAGACUGAUCUAAUUGAAUUUGGAUUUUGUUAUAACUAGAAUGUGUCGUAGGUAGUUUUUAUUUCCGCAACUCAUGCUAAUAUGUAUGAAACAGAAAGGGGAUUAAAUUGAAAUAUAAAAUAAAUAAUAAGAAAAUAAAUAUAGUACAAAGAUUAAACAUUUCUAUCUUUCAACAUUAGACCUCAAAGUUUUUAUCUUUUACAAUUAGAUUCCUAACAACUAGACCUGUUCAUGAGUCGAGUCACCCAGCCUGGCCCUAAAAGUGGGAGAGUUUGAGCAAAAUAUAGACCUAAAAAAUAGGUUUGGAUAAAAAAUAAGGCCCGUUUAAAAAAUAGGUUUGGCUUUGAGUAAAGCAUUUUUUGCCUAGGUCUGGCCCGGCCCGAAUUCACAAAAGGACAAAAAAUCUACUAAUUUUUGUUGUUUUAAUGCUAUUUUCUUGUUAUUUUCUCCCUAUUUUGCUACCAUUUCACUAUUAUGUUACUAUUAUUUUGUUGUUAUUAUUUGAAUAUUGUAUAACACUUGUUUUAUCAUUACUUUUGUUAUUAUUUUAAAGGCAUUUACUUGUUAAGUUGCAUUUAUCUUAGUGUUAUUUAAGUAUAUAUACAUAUUUUUUAAAGUUUAUUUUAAUGUUUUAGUAUUUUGAUAUAUUAUAUAUUUAAAAUUAUAUAAAAAUAAUAUAAAAAUUAAUAUGGGUGGGUCAGACCUGAGUUUUAGUAUUUUUAUCCGAAUCGGGUCUAGAUAAAAUUUUAGGCCCAUUUUUUGGGCCGAGCUCAGGCCUAGCAAAUGGGCCUAUUUUUUUUACUUGACCCAAACUCGGUCUGGCUUAGCCCAUGAGCACCUCUACUACCAACAUAUAUUUACUCAAACUUAUCCAAGCUUGAAUUAAUAUCUCUUAGCACAUUUUCUCGAUUUUCACAUUAUAGAUUUAACUAACAUUAAACAUCCUAACUCAAUUUUGAUAUGGGGGUGAGCAUUUGAUUGAAUCAAGUGAAAAAAUUUUGAGUUUAUGAGUCCUAUUUUAUCAUCCUAACUCAAUUUGAAUUUUUUUUUCGAAUUGAGUCGAGUGAAAUAAAAUUCGACCCAAGUCGAAUCAAAUCGAAUAGAGUGAAAUUGUUCAAGUUAAAUUAAAAAAAUAAAAAUAAAAAUAAAAAUAAAAAUAUUAUUACAGUAUGACUAAUUCCAUAUUAGAGCACAUAAAUUUGAAAUAUUUUUCAAAGCAAAAAAAAAAAAAAAACUUGAGUAUGAUAAAUUUGAAUCAUUACUUAAGUCUCCAACAUUAUUGUUUUAGAAAUUAUUUAAAAUAUUAACUCUUUUUAUAUAUUUUUAAGAAUUUCUAUAAUUUCUUUAAAAAUAUAUAAUUUCUGAAAUUUUUAUAAAUAUUUUGAAUUAUUUUGAGAGAGAGACCAAUUUGCUUAUUUUUAAAGUUGUCAGGAACCAAAAUGAUGUUUAUACCAAUCUGUUAUUUGAAUUAUUCGAGGUAUACAAAUUGUGAAAUUCAACUCGACUUGAACUUGAAAUCCAAAUUUAGUUAUUCGCGUUGACUUGAAUAAUUUAAAUAACUCAAAAUUAAAAAAAAUCGAUUUUUUUUCAGUCGAAUCGAAUUUUACUCACCACUAAAAAGAUACAAAAAAUAAAUCAUAACUUGAUCCACGAACAUGUAUUUAAAUAGUAGCAGCAAUGUAAAAUUUAGACUCUUUUCAUUGUUCAAUAUUUAUUUCAAUUAAUCGACAUAACAUCAGUUACAUCUACAAUCACUAAGGUAGAAAACACAACAAUAAUUGUAGUUUAGAUUCACUAUUAUAGGAAUUACUGUUAAUCUUGGAGGUCUCCAUGUUUAAUUUUUAUAUAAUAUAUCCCGUUGCACCCAAAAAGGAAGCAUUCCUCCCCUCCUUUGGAUUUUCUAAUACAUGUUUAAUCACUAUUAGUAAGUUAAUUUUAAAACUUUCAUAUUUAAUAGAUAGAUUUUACAUAUAUCUCACACAUUUAAAUGGCGAUAAUCAUGUAGAAUGAUAAAAGAAAACUGCUCAAAUGUAUGUUGGAUGCUAACGUAUUGUUAUAUACAAGUAAGAAAAUGGAGUAACAGAAAAUAACAAAAAAAUAAACUACUAACUGACUAACAAGAAAUUAAUUUAAAACUAUAUGACUAACAGCCCCUCUCAAGCUGGAGAGUGAAUGGGAAACAAUCCCAACUUGGACAAAAUAAGCUGGAAGGGAACAUCAGUCAGAGCUUUGGUGAAGAUGUCAGCAAGCUGAUCCUUGGAAGAACACGGAAGCAAUUUAACAACACCGAACAACACUUUUUCACGAACAAGAUGACAGUCGAUCUCAAUGUGUUUAGUACGUUCAUGAAACGUAGGGUUUGCAGCAAUUUGAAGAGCAGAAUUGUUGUUGCAAAACAAAGCAGUAGGCCCAGAAAUAGACAUAUGCAAGUCGGACAGAAGAAAUCGAAGCCACUUGAUUUCACAAACAGUAGAUGCAAGAGCCCUAUAUUCUGCUUCUGAGGAAGAGCGAGACACAGUGCUUUGCUUCUUGGCUUUCCAACUAACAAGGGAAUCCCCAUAAAAUAGGCAGUAACCAGUCACGGAGCGACGUGUUAGAGGACAACCAGCCCAAUAAGAGUCACUAAAUGCCUUCAGUGUAGACGAAGAAGAAGCAGAAAAGAAAAGACCAAAGUCAAUGUAGCCUUUCAAGUAGCGAAGGAUGCGAUGGGCAGCUUGAAGGUGAGUGACUGUAGGUCGAUCCAAGAAUUGACUUAACCGUUGAACAGCAAAAGCAAGAUCAGGUCUAGUAGAAACCAAAUACAAUAGACGUCCAAUAAGUUUUCUGAAAAUAGUGUUAUCAGGAAGCAAUUCGGCAGAAGCAUCACGAGGGAUUUUGGUCACCAUGGGAGUUGUAACAGGCUUGCACUCGGAGAAACCAAAAUCAGUCAGGAGAUCGAGAGCAUAUUUCUGCUGACAAAGAUAAAUACUAGCAGAACUACGAGCAACUUCAAGGCCAAGAAAAUACUUGAGAUCUCCCAAGUCUUUGAUGCUAAAGGCAGAAUGCAAGAAGGCUUUUACGCAUGUUAUUUCUUCCAAAAGAUCACCGACUAGAAUAACAUCAUCAACAUAAACUAAUAAGGCAGUAAAGGAAAUUUCAUCCUUUUUAACAAACAAAGAAAAAUCUGAACUAGAUUGAACGUAACCAAUUGAAGUGGGAGCUGCAGUAAGUUUGGCAAACCAUUGUCGACUUGCCUGCUUGAGACCAUAUAAUGACUUUUGCAACUUACAAACCUUAUGGGAAGUAGAGGGAGCAAAACCAGGAGGCAAAUGCAUGUAAACCUCUUCAGUCAAAUCGCCAUGCAAAAACGCAUUGUUAACAUCAAGCUGGUGCAAAAACCAGUUUUUGGAAGCAGCAAUAGCAAGCAAUAAUCGAACAAUAGUAAUCUUGGCCACAGGGGAAAAGGUAUCAAAAUAAUCAACACCCUCAGUUUGUGUGAACCCUUUUGCAACCAAACGAGCCUUGUAACGCUCAAUAGAACCAUCAGCUCGAUAUUUCACACGAUAGACCCAUUUGCAACCAAUUGCAAUCUUGCCUGGAGGUAAGUCCAUAAUGAUCCAGGUGUUAUUUUGUUCAAGAGCAGAAAUUUCAGCUUGCAUUGCUUCUUGCCAAUGGGGAAUUUUGCUAGCUUGUAAAUAGGUUGUAGGUAUGGGAGAAGCAUUGAUAGCAAGAGUAAAAGGUGUGGGGCAGCGAAGAUGAUUGGCAACAGCUUUGCUGGAAAAGCAGUGAUACUGGUCUAAAUAUGAAGGAGGUUUCCUAAGACGAGGUGGCCUAGAGGGUUGUAAAGGAACGGGAGGUAAAGGUGGUGAUUGAAGUGGCAAAUCAUAGGUAAUAGUGGGGUCAAAGGUUAACUGUAGGAUGAAAGAGGAAGAAGAUGGUUGAUGAGAACAAGGAAAAACAGACUCAUGGAAAUGGACAUUUCUAGAGAUAAAAAUGGCAUGAGUUGAUAGGUCAAAAAGAAUAUAGCCUUUGACAUGGGGUGGAAAACCAAGAAAGACACAUUCACGUGCUCGAGGAUCCAACUUAUGACGAUGAGCAGUGUGAGUGGUUGCAAAGCAAAGACAACCAAAGACACGGAGGUGUUGAAAAGAUGGCUUAGUUUGGUAUAAUUUGUCAAAAGGAGUAAGGUUUGUCAAAAGGGGAGUAGGGGUACGAUUAAUAAGAAAAACAGCAUGAAGAACAACAUGUCCCCAAAAAUGCUUGGACAGAGAGGAAUGAAACAAGAGAGCCCGUGCAACAUUGAGAAUAUGUUGGUGCUUACGUUCUACAAGAUCGUUUUGUUGUGGGGUUUCAACACAUGUAGUUUGAUGAAUUAUGCCUUUGGAAGCAUAAAAAGCUGAAAUGGCAAACUCACAACCAUUGUCAGAUCGAAUGACUUGAAUUUUAGAUAUUAAUAAAUGAAAAAAUGGAACGGAUAUUAACCCAUAUACACAUCGAAAACGCUCUUCCAUUUCUAACCAAUUUCCAUCAAUGCAUUGGAUUAUAUGACUACUUAAAUUUUACUUUGAAGUUAAAUUUGUAAUAUUUCAAAUAAUUGGUUUAAUACAUUAUAAUGUUGUACUAAUUUUAUAUAUUUAUACAAAUUUUAUUUAACAAAUUGAAUUUUAGUUUAGUAAUAUAAUUUUUUCACAUUAAGUUUUCAAUUAAUUUGAUAUAUAUGUUAUUUGAGAAUACAAUUUUAUAUAUUUUUAAUGGUUGAAUUUUUUUAUAUUAAACAAAUAAAUAUACUUUUUAACAUAUUCCAAUUUUGAUGUAAGUUACAUAUAACAUGAAAUUAAACAAAUAUAGAUCUUAUAAAAAGAAAAACUAAGGAUCAAUAUUUUCCUACAAAUGAUCAAUAUGCAUGGUGUUACUUUCCCUUUUUUGUUUGAGAUCAUUUGGUGUUUAGUUUCAAUUAAAUUUAGAAUUUUUGGUCGGGUUUCAAUUAAAUUUAGGUCUCAACACUAUAUUCUAUAUCCACAAAAUUAAACUUGAAAUCUUAGUUAAGGAACAUUGAACUCAGGGUGGUGCCAAGGAUGCUAACAAAGGUUUCGUUCGCCUGCUUUUCCCUCCCCAAAAAAGGAAAUCUCACUUUUGGCCUUUUAAAGUUUAAAGAAUUUUAAAGGGUAAAUUACACCCAUGGUCACUUUUGUUUACUUCAGAUUACGUUUUAGUCACUUAUGUUUGAAAUGUUACGUUUUAGUCACUUAUGUUAUUGUGUUGUAACAUUUUAGUCAUUGAGCCAUUAAUUGUCGUUAACGGUAUAACGGUAAGCUAAUGUGGCGCAUUAAAUCAUCAUUUUAAACAAAAAGAUUACGUUAAAUUAUACAAUAGGUCCCCAUAUUUUUUUCAUUUUGAGCAAUUUAAUUUUUUUUCUUUUAUGUUCUUUUAACUUUCUUUUUUUUUUCAUUAUUUUCCAUUCUCUUCUGCUUCUCCCUCUAUUUUCCUACCUUCUCCAUUUCUUUCAAUAUAUUAGGAAGUCGAAUUGGCAGUGAAGAAAAAAACAUGGUAUGGAUUUAUGGGUUUUGGUUAUAGGCAAUGAUGGUUUUCGACUUCCUACUUAUUUCUUCACUGCCAAUUCGACUUCUUGAUAUGUUAAAGGAAAUGGAGAAUGUAAGAAAAUAGAGGGAGAAGCAUAAGAUAAUGGAAAAUAAAUAAAUAAAAAUUAAAGAACAUAAAAAAUUAAAUUACUCAAAAUUAAAAAAUAUGGGGAUCGAUUGUAUAAUUUACCCUAAAAUUUUUGUUUGAAAUGAUGAUUUAACGUGUCACGUCAACUUGCUAUUACACCGUUAGUGACAAUUAAUAGCUCAGUGACUAAAAUGUUACAACACGAUAACAUAAGUGACAAAAACGUAACAUUUCAAACAUAAGUGACUAAAGUGUAACCUAAGGUAAACAAAAGUGACCAUGGGUGUAGUUUACCCAAUUUUAAAUUAAUAUAUAGUAAAUUUAUACUUUAACUUCCAAAAAUAUUAAAAUUUUGAUUUAGUCCUUUAAAAUUAUAAGAUAUAAGUUAUUAAAAUGGUAAAAUUACAUUUUUAUCUCUCACAAAAAUAUAUAACUUAAUUCCAACCCCUAGAAAAAUUUUCUGACUUUCCCCCUAAUUAAACUUCUUAUCACUCAGUCCAACAUCUGUAGCUAAACAAAUAAUCUUAUUUGUAAGAUCUGUAUAACAAAGGGAUAAAUAUCAAAACUACACAUAAAAUUUGAUCUAAUAUGCAAUUUGAUAUAUGAACUUUGAUUUGAUGCAAUUAUACACAUCAAACAUGGAUUAUAAUUCAAAUGUGUAUAUAAAACAUUUAAAGAAAUAAAUACAUUACUUUAUUUUUUAUAUUAGAUAAAUUAAAUUAUUUAUGUAUGUAAUAAAAAAUACAAAAUUAUAUUAUAUCAAUAAUUAUAUCAAUAAUUUAUAAAAUUAAAAUAAAAAAGUUUUCAUAUAUAAAAUCAUAAAUUUUUAGAUUUAUCCGUAUAGCAAACAACUCCCAAGUUGUGGGACAUAUAAGCCAUGCAUGCGUCAUAUCAAACGUACAAAAAACUUCUAAAGAUAGGGAAAUACUAAGUCAAUGUGUCUUUGUGCUGAAAGAAUGUUGAAUUCAAUUAUAAUUCUACAAAUUAUGCACUUGUAAGUCCAUAAUAUAAAUAAAUGAACAUGAAAUUACUUUAUCAUGUCAUAUUCCAUGAUUUGCUGACAGGAUCUUUAUCGUCCACCUUCUUUUCUUGGCAAAUUAAGAAAGACCAACUUAAGCUCCAAGCAAGUCUAGUGGGUCCUUCUGUCUAAUACUUUAAAUUAUACAUUUAAUUGAUUUUAGUAGUUAAAUUUUAUUAUUAGAUUGAUUUUAUGUGUAAGUUGCAACUCUAUUCUUUAGAUUGAUUUUUUUUAAUCCUUAAAAUUUUUGGAUUUUAAAAUUCAAUCCUAACUCAAACGACAGUAGUUAAAUUCAUCAAGUACUAUAAUACCGUUUUUGUGAGUAUUAUUUGUAAAUAAAAAGUUAAUAUAAUAUCACACAUGAUAAUAUAUUUGUUGUAUAAUAUUUUAAAAAUAAUAAAUCUAACUGCUAUUAUUUGAGUUACACAUAAUUUAAAGAAUUUAAUUAUUUUAUAAAUCAAAAUAUAGUAUCAGUGCCCCUAAUCCUAUGAUAAAAAAAAUUAUAUUAAAAUGAAGUCUUAGGUCCAGAAUUCAAUUUUUUGGACAUCCUAUACCCUGAUUGUAUUUGUGUGAACAUGGUGGCACAUGAGUUGAUUUUUUGGUACAACAAUGAAAGAAAGAGCCAAGAAAGAUAUAGAAAAUUAAGAGUAAUUGACACUUCCAGAAAAUUUCCAUAAGUCAAAAUGAGAUUACGUAUAUACAAAAAAAAAAAUUGAGAUGUAGAUCACUAGAUGUAAACAUUUGAGGCUGCCAUGAAACAUCAUUACACCAUAUCAAUAUCAGACCCUAAGAAAGAGUCAAUUUCUGUAGAAGGUCCCUACCCUAUAUAUAUUUUGUGAAUUUAGUCCUUUCAUAUAAUUCGGUAUUUUUAAUCUCUCCUCGUUUUAGAAAUUACAAAUUCAAUUGAUAAAGAUGGACACAAAAAUUGGUUAUACAAAUCAAAAAACUUUUUUGCAUUUGAAACUUCACCCAAAAUCUAAUUUAUUAUCAAUAUGCAGUGUAAGAAGUGACUAAGACUCAGAUACCAUAAUGAGAUACACGAAUGUAAUCUAUAAUGAUCAUAAAACGAUCAAUUUUUCAUAUAUUGAACUGGAUAACGAGCUAUGAUAUAUAUACACAAUCUGUCAAACUAAUUACAACCACCUUAACUGCUAUUGUUAACUGCUAACUGUCAUAACAGUUUUAUUAAUUCUUAACAUUCCGUAAAGAGACUUUUUUUGAUGUCUUAAAUCAACAAUGUAAUUUUUAAGAAGAAAACAGUGGAAAGCAAAUUAAACUUGCAUUUUGGGUGGAAGAUAAAUGAGCCAAAUUAAACCUGCAUGAGGUGACAUGCUAGUUGAAGACAAUAUUCUAAUACAAAAUAGGUAGUGAUUAUAUACUAUUACCUUAGAAUGUUAAUCUUUUCAUCUUAUUUUUGAAGAUAGAAAACAAAUUACAUGAAAAUAUUUUGUACACGAGUAGUGCACUAGCGUGAAUGACAUUGUAGUCAAUGAUUUUGGUAUACUUUUUCACAAAGUAAAGCGGAUAAUUCGGUUUUUGGAAGGUUACUUAAAAAUUGCUUCCAUUUUAAAUCUUGUUUUUAAUCAUUAUCCAUACGUUGGAUUUGUAGAUCCACUAAUAAAAUAGCUCAUUCGUUGGCGAGAACGGCUUUAUCUCGAACUACACCAACUUUUUACGAAGUCCUUCUAUUUUGGAUAUUUUGAAUGCUAUUGUUCUUCUAAUUUUGGUGAAAAUGGGGAGAACUAAAAUUAGGUGUAUUGGAAACCUAUUGGCUUGAGAGUAGAUUCUCUCCUAUUUUUACCUCUUUUUGUCAUUUACUAUAUGAGUUUUACUUUUAAAAAAGAAAGAAAGAAAUGGUAGCUCAAAUACUAGUCCUACUUCAACCCGUAUAGCACCCCCUCGCCAUACGCUAUUGUUAGGAUUGUGACGUGAAAAUAGCUUGCAAAUCCGAUAAAAUGUGUAACAGCUAUAUCAACGGAGCGUAAUAAUCUGGCAAAGAAAAUCAGACCCCCUCAUACGCUGUUAUUAGGAUCGUGACAUGAAAUAGCAUGCAAACCCGACUAAAUAUGCAACGACGAAAUCACCGGAACUAACCCCUAUAAUAAUAUGGCAAAGAAAAUCAGACCCCCUUCCCCGAAAACACAGUUGUUAAGAUUGCGACAUCACUGGAGAACAGCGAUAUCAACAGAACUAACACUUUUUUAUAUUUUGCAUACUUUGUCCACAUUAAUUGCAAUAUUCUAGUUUAAUCUUUUCGUCUCCUUCAUACUCCUUCAAGAAAUCCCAAACUUCAAAGGUUAAUUUCAUUGUCAUCAUUCUGAGAAAGAUUUCAGAUGAGGCUGCAACAAAUAAUGUAGCUCUUGCCUCUGAUUUUCUUGAUUCUCUCAUUGUAAUACUUGAUUUGCACCAUAGCCGGAUUGACAGGUAAUGAAAGAACUUCGUAGUCCUUCUCCAUGGCUUCCCAGAAAUCAUUUUCCUCUAGAUGAGCCUCUAUCCUUGCUGCCCAAACAUGGGAACCUUCACUAUUGAAAAUAGGUGGUGCAAGUGCAGUGAAAGGGAUUUCUGAAUCCAUAGAAGAAGAAAGAGAGAAAAAAUUUUCCUUAGUUACAGGUCCCUCAAGAAGAUAACUCUGAUACCUAUUUAUUGAAGUUUUUGAAGAAAAUUUUAUUGUAAAAAGAAAACAACAAAAACAAGAGGAAAAUAUAAAUAAUUUUUAUGGAAAGUGUUUUCAUUUAUUAAACUAAAAACUAGUGUUUAUAUAGAAAAACAACAACUAUUGACUAAAACUAGACUACUAAAAUAUUCAUAAUCUCUAAACAUCAGCAACAAAUAAAAAAUUGUUAAAAUUAAUUAGAUUAUUUUGGGUUUUUUUACUAAAUUAUUAUAAAAAAAUUUCAAAAUUUCAAAAUAUUAUAUAUAUUUUUAUUUACCAAAAUAUACAAAACAAAAAACAAAAAACAGAAAAAAAAGUUGCGCCGAUUUGACAGAACCCUGGUGGAGGGGUUCUGAUUGGCGGCACCAAAGGUGCCAAACUGAUUGGCGGCAUCGAUGGUGCCAAUGAGGUUGGAAGCACUGAUGAUGCCAUACAGGUUGGCAGCACCGACGGUGCCAUACUGAUUGGCGGCACUACUCGUCUUAUAAACACGAGCUUUGUCCAGCUGAAGGAAGAAAAAUUAGAAGAAAAAAAAGAGAAAGAAGAGGUGCUGCAGAAAAAAAAGAGAAAAAGAAGGUAUUUUUUUUAAAAAUAACUGAUUAUCUUGUUGUUAUUGUUUUGUAUAAUUUGCAUUAUUUUUUGUUUUAGUUUAGUUAUUAAGAUUAAUAAAACUCAAAUUGAUAGUUUUAAUUAUUAUUAUUAUUAUUAUUAUUAUUAUUAUUAUUAUUAUUGUUAGUAUUAAGAUGUUAUUAAGGUAUUAAGAUGUUACUUAGUAUUAUUGUUAGUAAAAAACUAGUAUUAUUAUUAUGGUUAGUUAUUAUUUUUAUUUAUCAAAAUAAACUAGUUAGUAGAAAGCUAGUAUUAUUAUUAUAGUUAGUUAGUUAUUAUUUGUAGUAAAACCCUAAUUAAUAAUUUUAGUUAGUAUUAUUUUGAGUAUAAAAUUGUGUUAGUUAUUAGGAUUAGUGGUUAAACGGUUUUCAUGUACAAAAUUGUAUAUUGAAACAUUAAAUUUUUUUAUUUAAGUAAUUUAUUUACCGAUCGAGAUUUUUUAUGAGAUUUUGUUUAUUUUUUGACAGAUUAAAUAUUGAAGAUGGAUGCUAAGUUUUUUGUAUGCGUUUAUUUCGAUAGAGUCAUCUUGACAACAAGUGUUGGAUGUGUAUUUGAAUGUCGGCAACAAAUGGCAAUGAGAUUUAAUAGAAAUGUCUCGUUCGAUGAAAUGAAGGCAAUGAUUAAUGCAAAAAUUCUUAGACGUUGUGGGAGAAGGAUAUCAAAAAUUUUCUACAAGUUUCUAGUUUCGACAAAUCCGGUCAAAUUCACCGAAAUGGAACUUGUAGAUGACGAAGACGUGGAGACAAUGGUGGAUCUCUACUGUGGGAAUGAGAGUGACAAGAAUGCACCGAUUCACUUAUUUGCUGAGUUGGUCGGUAUGGAGCAAAAUGAAGAUGUCAAUGCAUGUGAUGAAGAACACGGAGCUCAAGAACCAUGGAUGGUGGCUCCAAUAUCAUACGUUGAUAGUGAAUCAACUAUGGGUGGGAUCGGUAUCGACUUGAAUAUUACACCCGAUGUUGAUAUGGUUGGUGGUGAAGAAGAAAGUGGUGGCGAAGAAGAAGGUGGUGGCGAUCAUUGGGAUGAAGAGGUCGAUAGUGACGGUGAUCCCGAUGUGGACGAUGUACCUGAUGAUAUUGACGAUGAAGAUGUCAACAACGAUGAAGACAUUAACGCUUCUUCGGUCGGGGAGCAGAUACGGCGUAUUUUGAUACACAAUAAUUCUGCGCCACACAUAUCGCUCAUAGACCUCGACGCAGCGUAUGUAGCUGAGUUCCCGGAGUACCCUGAAAUAGUUCAUCCUCACGGGCUGGCCGUAACAUCUGAUGAUGAGGAGUUAUACAUAGGCCAGAGAUUCAGCUGUAAGGAAGAGUGCGUAUAUGCCAUUAAACGGUACAUCAUGAACAUAUCGAUGGAUUAUAAAGUCGCAGUGUCUACUCCGACAAUAUAUGUUGGGGAGUGUUGGAAGGCAGCGAAAGGCUGCAAUUGGUGGGUACGAGCUGCAUUCAUUAAAAGUUCUCAAAUGUGGGAGAUACGAAAAUUUAUUGGUCCUCAUACAUGCACAUCAACACGUAUGACAGAAGAUCAUGGAAAACUUGAUUCGAAAACUAUCUGUACGUGUAUCAUGCCAAUGGUGAAGGACAUGCCGACCAUUAAAGUUUCGGUACUGAUUGCUGAGAUGCAAGCACGAUUCUAGUAUCAAGUCUCAUAUUGGAAGGCAUAGAUAGCUAAACAGAUGGCAAUGGAGCAACUGUAUGGGGAUUACGAUUCGUCGUAUAACAAGCUUCAAGGUUGGAUAGCUGCUAUGCAGGAGUACGUACCGGGGAUUGUGAUUGAGUUGCAGACAAGGCCAUAUUAUGGCCCGAACGACCAGUUACAGCCAGCAAAAAGGAUUUUCCAUUGGAUGUUUUGGACGUUUGAUCCAUGUGUUCGGGCAUUUCCCAAUUGCAAGCUAUUGGUGCAGGUGGAUGGGACCUGGUUAUAUGGAAAAUAUACACAGAUCCUACUUCUUGCGAUUAAUCAAGACGGCAACAGAAACGUGCUCUCGAUAGCAUUUGCGAUCGUAGAUAAAGAGAACAUGGAGUCUUGGGAAUUCUUCCUCACAAACCUGCGGAGGUAUGUUAUUAGCAACGAUAACAUUUGUAUCAUCUCCGACAGAGGGAAAGGUUUAAUUGCAGCAAUUAGGCGUUCUGGUGUGCCAUGAAGAUCCUUUUACUGCAUCCGUCACAUUGCGACUAACUUCCACAAAGAUUAUAAGAAUGCAGAUAUGAAGAGACAAGUCGUGGCAAUGGGUAUAUCGGGCAUAUUGUUCGAUCAUGAAGUAAGAUGUCAUGAAUAUUAGAAUAGCAGCUUACCCCUUCCCGGGCAUACUGUUCGAUCAUGAGGAGGUAUAUCGGGACAAGGUACGACCUCCCGAUACCUGGACGAGCACUCCACCUACAAAAAACAAAUAUAGGGUUUAGGGUUGGUAACAUUAGUCAAUAUAUUAUGACUACAAAUAAUGACAAUUUAUAUUUUAUCACCUGUUCAGCAGUGGAUAGACAUACGGUUGGUGACUAACGGAUGCCAAAAAUGGCAUCCGAUAGAGCGCCCAGGACUGUAGCAGUGGGAGGCAUCCGCCCAUGUCUACAACAUCUGGGUUUGUCACCCGACAAAGCUCCCGGUACAACAUUGCAAGAAUGGCGGAGCCCCAACUAUACGAGCUAACAGUGGACAAAUCAGCUAACAGGGGCAAUUACAUCAAAUGCACCUUGUCGUUGUUUGCAUCAGGCAUGAGUACUCCCCCUACGAUAUGCAUGAUGUUCGCUUGAGCAGCGCACAUCAACUCACCUUCAAUGGCAGUCGUUGAUAAUUGUCCAAAUUUGGCUUUCAGCCAUGUAAAUUGUAAUCCUGUAAAAUUUCUCUCACCGUCCCCUUGCGAGUCCCCCAGUAGCUCAUAACAAAGUGUAGUCGGAUCAGUAAAUGAAGAUACUCCCGUUACGAGACUCCCGUCAAUUGGGAGCCCAAGCUGCAUUGCAACAUCCUCCAAGGUCACUGUGCACUCCCCGCAUGGAAAAUGAAAAGUGUGGGUCUCCGGGCGCCACCGCUCCACUAGUGCAGAUAUUAAAUCAUAGCGCACGUUGGAGGACCGGAUUAGUGCUGCUGACCCAAAUCCGGCUUGCUCCAAGUACGGCAUCAAUCAUGCAUCCGGAGCCGUUUUCCAAACACUAGUACGACCCCUUAAUAAUCGGUACGAGUCUUGAUAAUGUUAAAUUACAGAAAAAUAUUACGAUAACAUGAUUUAUUUGUAUAUACUACGUAUAUCCUUUUUAAAUAAAUAGAACCCGCGAUUAACAAAUAAUAAAUCAUACCGUGUUAUUAGCCGCAUCAGAUAUGUGUCUAUUGGUUCGAAUCAAUGAAGCCAUUGUGAUGCCUGCAAGUUGAAAAAAAAAGUUAGUAAAAAACUCUUACUUCGGCCAUUUGUUCGUAUUUUUUCUCCGCAUUUUAUUACUUUAAAAAAUAUCUUAAUUUCUAAUUUUAUAAGUUUACAUUAUUUCAGUGCAUAAUGUUUGAAAUUUAUUAAUUUAGUGUGUUUUUUAAAUUAAGUUGGUGUAAGAAAAAAACCCUUAUCCCUGCCCUUUGCUCGUAUUAUUUUCCCAAUUUUUAUUACUUUCAAUAAAAAUAUUUUAUUUUCGUAUUUUAUUAUUUUAUAUUAUUCCAGUGCAUUUUGUUUGAAAUAUUUGUAUUAAUUAUUCCUGAAUUUUUAAAAAGUUAGUAAAAAACUCUUACUUCGGCCAUUUGUUUGUAUUUUUUUCUCCGCAUUUUUUUAUUAUAGAAAAUAUUAUAAUUUUUAAUUUUAUAAUUUUACAUUAUUUCAGUGCAUAAUGUUUGAAAUUUAUUAAUUUAGUGUGUUUUUUAAAUUAAUUUGGUGUAAGAAAAAAACCCUUAUCCCUGCCCUUUGCUCGUAUUAUUUUCCCGAUUUUUAUUACUUUCAAUAAAAAUAUUUUAUUUUCGAAUUUUAUUAUUUUAUAUUAUUCCAGUGCAUUUUGUUUGAAAUAUUUGUAUUAAUUAUCUCUGAAUUUUUUAAAAAGUUAGUAAAAAACUCUUAUUUCGACCAUUUGUUCGUAUUUUUUUAUCCGCAUUUUAUUAUUUUAAAAAAUAUCGUAAUUUUUAAUUUUAUCAUUUUACAUUAUUUCAGUGCAUUAUGUUUGAAAUUUAUUAAAUAUACAAUUUUUUUCGCAUUUUAUUACUUUCGGUAAAUGUACAAUUUCCGUUUCUUCUUUUCGUAUUUUAUGCUUUCUUAAAUAUAUUUUUUAUCAUUUUACUUUUAAUGCUAUUUUUCCUAAAAAAACUAAUUUCAAUAUCCUAAGUAAAUUUCAUAAAAAAAGUUCCUAAUCAACAUACAAUAUACAUACCAUGAAUUUUUUCAUGCUAAAUAUAUUUCAUAAAAUAUAUAUGCUAAAUAAAAUAAUAAAACACGUAUAUUAUACAUAACAUAAAUUUUUAACACACAAAUAUUACAAAAAAUUUAAUUUAAUAAUAAAAAUUACCUUUUUUUUCUUUUUUUUCCUUCCUUCCCUCUUCUUCUUUCUUUUUUUUUUCUCUUCUCUUCUCCUUUCUUUUCUUUCCUUCUUUUUCUUUCUUUUUUCUUCUUCUUCUUUCCUUUUCUUUCCUUCUUUUUCUUUCUUUCCUCUCCUGUCCUUUUCUUUCUUUCUUUCUUUCUUUCUUCUUCUUUCCCUCUCCUUCUCCCCCCCGAUGGGCCCUAUUAUAAGGGCAGUGCCGCCAAUCAGUUUGGCACCUUUGGUGCCGCCAAUCAGAACCCCUCCACCAGGGUUCUGUCAAAUCGGCGCAGCUUUUUUUUCUAUUUUUUUGUAUACUUUAGUUAAUAAAAAAAUAUAAUAUUUUGGAAUUUUUUAAUUUUUUUAUAAUAAUUUAAUAAAAAACUCGAUUAUUUUGUUAUAGUAGGUGAAGGAAAUCUUCAACAUGAUUAUUGGAACUGGUGCUUCAUUUGCUCAUUUUAUGAGGGGUAUGAAUUUUAGAGGGCAUGCAAAAAAGAAAAGGAAGAAGAAAGAAAGAAAAUUACAAAAAAAAAGAAGAAAAAGGAAAAAUUAUGACACCAUGCAUUUGGGGCUUUCAAAUCUUUACAAACAUAAGAGUAGUAGUUCUAACUAUCUUUCUUGAGGGUAACUUUUCUACGAAAAUAUCUAGGCAUGAGGUGAUAAAUGACCUUCUUUCACUGUCCCAUCACUUUAAGAAAUUAUCAUUUGUUGUCUUAUUUUGAGCUUCAUCGAAUUUUCUUACGAAUAAACUCAGUCCAUAGUUAGAUCAACUUGUAAAUAGAUCGAACACCAAUUUUAUAGUGAAAAUAUAGGAGAAAUUUCAAUCGAAGUUAAACUCCAGCAGUUGCCACUUAUCUAGUUUCAUAGAACUCGCCACUACGAUAAACAACUUCCAUCACGCAAAAAAGCUAAGGCAUGGUGGCUUCAGUCCAGUUUACAAGGGUAAUAACCAAUGGUGAUUUCCGGAAAAUACAUGAUCGAUGAAAUGACAUUCUCUUUCUACCAAGUCUUAUGAAUCGAAUUUUGUGUGAUGGGAACAUUAGAUGAUGGAAAGGAAAGAGCAUUUAAGAGAUUGUCAAAAGGUUCGGGGCAAGGGUUGGAAGGAUUUAUGAAUGAAGUGGUGGAGAUUUCAAAGCUCCGACAUCCAAAUCUGGUUAGGUUAUUUGGGUGCUGUGUUGACGGUGAAGAGAAGAUGCUGGUCUUUGAGUACAUGCCUAACAAAAGUUUGGACGCGUUUCUUUGAUUAUUAACUUAUUCUAAUUUUUCAGUAUUCAAUAGUUAUAUUGAACCUCAAUUAAAUUUAAAGUUAAAUUAAGUUCAACUUUAAAGGAGGGGCCAAGUUUUUCGAGAACUAUUAGAUUUUAAAUAUAAUUUUAAAAAAUGUUAGGCAAAGAAAAGCACUAACUUAUGACAUAAAGUAUAUUGUAAUUGGUAAGAGACUUUUUUUUUUCCCCUUAACAAGGCUCGAUCAAUGCUGAAAGAAUAAUCCAGAAAAUAAUUUUGAAAAAAAAAAGUAAUGUGCUUCAUUAGUCAAAGUUAUUCAAAUGAAAGAUUCUAAAUUCAUCGGUUUGACAAAAGCUACCUAUAUUAGUCAAAGUUAUUUAAAUGUCGUCUUGGUCUGUAACUUCUGGAAGUUCUAACCUCACAUAAAUUUUAUCAAUAGUUUUUAAUUACUAAAUUAAUUACGAAAAAUUAUCUAGUGAUUCAAUUUGCUCAUUCAAAAUGAAAUUUUUAUAAUUCCGUUAUUCAAUUUUUAGGGUGGUUUAUUUUAGUCACUAAAUUAUUAAAUUUUUAACGGUGGUUAACUGUACAUACUAUAUCAUAUUCACUUUUUUAUUUUGAUCACUUAAAUUCUAAAUCGUUUUCAUUUUGAUCAUUUAAAAAACAUAUUUUCCAAGUAUUGAUCGGCGUAAAAAUUGCUAAGGAGUAAAGUGAAAAAGUAGUAGAAACUAAAAUAAUACUUUAAAAAAUUUAAAUAACUUAUUUAAUUAAUUUUGAUGUUUUGAAAUUUAAAAUUUCAAUAUUAAAAAAAAUACAACUUACGCUAAGAGAUAAGUAAACACAAUUUGAUAAUUUUUAAAGUAUUACUUUUUUCACUUUAAUCUUUAAUUGUUUUUAAAUUGCUGCAAUGAAAAGUAAGAAUAAAAAAUAAAGAGGUGCUUAGCGCUCCAAGAAAUUUCAAAUCUUGAUGUAAUCAUUUGAAGAAAAUUGAGUUGAGUUAAUCUAGUGUAAAUCCUUAAAGAUUCCAAAUAUCAUUCAUAAAUCAUAGCGUCACUUCCAAGUUCUGGGUAGAGAUUAUGGGAAAAACUAUUAGCUGCUCUGUUGUACUAUCUUUAAUACCUUGCUUUUACUUGCUAUUUGCCACUGCUUUAGACACCAUAACACCAUCAAAAUCCAUCAAAGACCCUGAAUUUAUAAUCUCCCAGAAUGGUACUUUCCGAUUGGGAUUCUUCAGCUUGGCUAACUCCAACAAUCGUUAUGUAGGGAUAUUGUACCAUCAAAUCCCCGUACAAACUGUUGUAUGGGUGGCAAAUAGAAACAGGCCUCUCAAAGACUCUUCUGGGAUUCUCAACAUAUCAGAUGAUGGCAACCUUGUUGUUUUGAAUGGCAAAACUGAGAUUCUCUGGUCAUCAAAUGUUACCAAUACAGCUCCUAAUGGAACGACUGCCCACCUUUCAGACUUAGGAAACCUCGUCCUCAGUAAUGGUGACGAUGCAGGAAGCAGCUUAUGGGAGAGUUUUCAACACCCUUCUAAUGCCUUCAUUGAAAGUAUGGAGAUCAGCACUGAUGUUAAAAAGGGUCGAAAAGUGGAGAUCAAAUCAUGGAAUAGCCAUGAUGAUCCAUCUGAUGGUAACUUUUCUUUUGGUAUUGAACCGAUCAAUAUCCCAGAGUUUAUCAUUUGGAACAAUAACCAGCUCUAUUUUCGUAGUGGUCCAUGGAAUGGAAAUAUGUUUAUUGGCUUAAUACUUCCGACCGUCGCUUUCUCUUGGUUUUCUGUUGUUGCAGAUAAUCGACAACAAACGUUUUUUAUAGGUUAUGAAGAUUCUAAUCACUCUAUGUUGACAUACUGUGAAUUAGAUUCUCAAGGAAAAUUCAGUGAACGGAGAUGGGAUGCGGAGAAAGGGAACUGGAUAAAGAGUUACUCUAUUUAUCAUACAGAUUGUGAUGUUUAUGGGAAGUGUGGGGAAUUUGGGAUGUGCAAUUCAAAGAAACGACCCAUUUGCAGUUGCUUAAAGGGGUUUAAGCCUAGGAAUGCAGAGGAAUGGAGUAGAGGUAAUUGGAGUAGUGGGUGUUUUAGGACUACCCCUUUGCAGUGCCAAAGGGAUAACAACAAUGGGAGUGGAGCAGGCCAAGGUGAUGAUGUGUUUUUGGAGAUGAAGAUGAUGAAUGUGCCCGCAUUUCCAGACCGGUCAUCAAUAGUUAACGGCGAAUGCAAAGAUCAAUGCUUGAAGAAUUGUUCGUGCGUGGCUUAUGCGUAUGAUGCUGGCAUUGGUUGCAUGAUUUGGAGUGGAGAUUUGAUUGAUGUCAAGGAAUCCAGUCGCGGAGUCGAUCUUUACAUUCGUCUGCCAGCUUCGGAACUGGGUAAAUUUUCUUAGUGUCGACCAUGUGUUUGAUAAAUUGCGUUAAUAUCUGCUUUUUGAGUGUUGAAGUUAUUAACCAAGUUUUUCUAUUUGCAGAUAAAGGGAAAAGUAGUAAGGUCAUUGUCAUUACAACAGUAAUUGCGGGCAUAGUAGUUAUCACAAUUUCUGCACUCUUCUUACGGUGUAGGAUGCUUAAACAUAAAGGUAAUAUAUGAAAAAUAUUUAAACUUAUAUAUAAUUUAUUAAAAAAAUUAAAAAUUAGAAUAUAAAUUUAUAUGUGAAAAAUAUUUAAAAAUAUAGAUAAAUUUAAAACAUAUAUUAAAAUAUGUUGAUAUUGAUACAUACUGAUAUCUUUAUAUACCAUUGUCAAGACAAAAAUAAUAUGUCCACCAAUACGGUACUAACUACCUUGAUCUUCUCUCAGGAAGAAAUAAAAAGAGAAAACACAUCAAAUUUUGUAGUGAAAAUAUAGGAGAAAAUUCAAUUGGAGUUAAACUCCAGCAGUUGCCACUAUUCAAUUUCGAAGAACUUGCCACCGCGACAAAUAACUUCAAUCACGCAAAAAUGCUAGGGCAGGGUGGUUUCGGUCCAGUUUACAGGGUAAUAUAUAAUGGCGAUUUUCAGCAAAUUCAGUGUCAAUGAAAAGACAUUUUCCUUUUUUCUAUCAAGUCUUGCGAGUUGAAAUUUUUUUUGCAGGGAACAUUAGAUGAUGGAAAAGAAAUAGCAGUGAAGAGAUUGUCGAAAGCUUCGGGGCAAGGAUUGGAAGAAUUUAUGAAUGAAGUGGUGGUGAUCUCUAAGCUUCAAUAUCGAAAUCUGGUAAGACUGCUUGGCUGUUGUGUUGAAGGAGAAGAGAAGAUGCUCGCCUACGAAUAUAUGCCCAACAAAAGUUUGGACGCUCUUCUCUUUGGUUAGUAACUUAUUCCAAUCCUUUUUUACCUUUUUAUUUUUUGUGAUUUUCGCUAUUCAAUAGUUAUGAUGGACCCUAAACAAUGGGCAAAACUUUCCUAGAAUUAUUUUUUUCUUCCACAAGACUUGAACUUGUAUUGUUGCUUAAGGCGAAUUGAGUUCUUUAUCACUCGAUCUAAUAACCAUUAAUAUUGUUUUCGUUCUCAUUACAACUUAAACUUGGCCUUGACUACCCCAUUUACCUAAUCCGAUAAGUCCUACUCAUUUGAUUUGGCAGGUGCAAUCCAUAUAGGUUAGAUCUUGGAUAUAAUUUUCUUGAAAAGUUUUCAAAAAUAAAGAAACAUACUUUCCCAUUGAAAAAGUAAUAUUAUGUAAGGAAAAUAUUAUGUAUUUUUAUCGAAAAAUAAACUUCUAUUUUUUAAUUUUUUAAAGUUUUUUAAUUUUUAAGAAUCAAGACUAAAUUAACAAAAUGUGUAAAGUUAAGGGUUAAAUUGUUCAAUUUUUUUAAAUUUAGGACUAAAUUGAUAGAUUCUAUAAAUAUUGAAGAAUUAAAAUUGUUAUUAUGCCAAAAGAAAAAAAGUCACUAUUAGUGAUUUAACACAAGAGUGACCAAAAUAUUAAAUUUCGAUAACAUUAAAUAGAAACACACUAAUAAUUGAAUGACAAUUUUUAUAGCUUACCUUUAAAAUUCAAUAUUUAAAAAUUAAUUAAAUAUUAAAAUCACACAUAUGUCACACUAGAAGUUAGUAAUUAUAAAAUAUAGAAGUAUGAUUCUAAGUUUUUUUUAAGCAAUAAAAUUGGUCGCCUAGUUGAUUUUGUGCAAAAAGAGGAUAUGAAAAAUAGGUUAUGGCUUGGUCUAUAGACAUGUCUGAUGUAAUUAUAUUCUGAGAUUUGAAAGGCAGCAACGUAAUAUUUUGACUCUCUUCAUUGUUCAACAUUUAUUUCAAUUGAUUGACAUAACAUCAAUUCUGUCUACAAUCACAAUUAAUACAAUAUGGUAGACAAUACAACAAUGAUUGUAGUUUAGAUUCACUAUUAUAGAAAUUAACUAUAAAUCCAGCUAAACAUUAUUGAAGAAUUAAAUGUUUUGGAUUGGAGAAAACGAUUCAACAUUAUUGAAGGGAUUAGUCGAGGAUUGCUUUAUCUACAUAGAGAUUCAAGACUAAAGAUUAUACAUAGAGAUCUAAAAGCAAGUAAUAUUUUAUUCGAUGAAGAAUUAAACCCAAAAAUUUCAGAUUUUGGGAUGGCUAGGAUUUUCGGAGGCAAUGAAAAUCAAGCUAACACUAAAAGGGUUGUUGGAACUUAGUAAGUUGGAACUUUUUCCCUAUCAUUUAAUUUUAUUCUCUUUUUUUUUUGAUAAAAUAUGGUAUAGAUAUAUCUAUUGAUGGAUCAGGUCCGAUGCUUAAAAAGAUUACAUGCGUAGACCUAAACUUAGUUUGGCUUAGUUUGAUCAAUGAACUCAUUUUACCAUUUCUAAAAAUUAAAAUAAUAAAGAAUAUAUUAUUUUAUACUUUUAUUAUUUAAUUUUAAUUUAGACUGACUCAUGAACAAGUUUAGGUCAGGGUUGUAAUUAAUGUUUUUAUUGUUAAAAUACAGUGGUUAUAUGUCUCCUGAGUAUGUAAUGCGAGGGCAAUUUUCAGAGAAAUCAGAUGUAUUCAGUUUUGGAGUUCUAUUGCUAGAGGUUGUUAGCGGAAGAAGAAACACAAGCUUUUGCAACGAUCAGUAUGCACUUAGCCUCUUGGGAUAUGUAAGUUUAUAAGAUAAUUAGACAUGUUGGUAGAUCAAAUUAGGGUGUAAGAUGCCAUUUUUGCAAACUAUUCAGGUUCGAAUCAAGAAAACUUGAAUUCUACUAAGUAACUAUUGAGUUGAGCGAUCAUGAGCUGAACUUGAGAAUCUUAAUGCUUGAAUUGGGUAGCUUGAAAGGUGACAUGGAGAGUCCUAAUACUUGAAUUGAGUAUAAGCUCUCUUUUUUGCUUUAAAUAUAUAUUGAACAUUUUCAAUUGAAAUUCGAGUUUGACUACAAUAUCGAGUUUAAGUUGAGCCUAAGAAUGAAGCUCAAUUUAGACAUAGGUAAACAAGCUUAAGCAAUAAAUUUUGAGCAGUUGGAUCUUUAUUUAUGUUGAAUUGAGCUAAUCAAAAUUUAUUUAGACUUUGUGUUUAUAAUUUUGAGUUGAUUUAGGCUGAAAAGUUUAAGUGUUAAUUUAGACAAAUUUUCUUUUCUAUUCUCAGGCAUGGAAAUUGUGGAGGGAAGGCGAUAUUUGUGGCAUUGUAGAUAAAGUGAUUUUAGAGUCAGAAACAUAUUCAAAGAAUGGAAAUGAAAAAGAAAUAUGGAGAUGCAUACAUGUUGGUUUGCUAUGUGUUCAAGAAUUUGCUAAAGAUAGGCCCACUAUGCCUACAGUUGUUUCAAUGCUUAAUAGUGAAAUUUCAGAUCUUAGCACUCCAAAACAACCUGCUUUCAUUGAAGCACCACUAAUGAGUCAUGAUGUUGAAGAUAGGGUUUCACUUAAUGAUGUAACUCUUACAAACCUAGAUGGCCGAUAGAAAUACAAAUUAUUUAUUUGUAGUGUUUAGAAAUACAAUUUUAAAUUUUGUAUUUCAAGUAUUGAAAUUUAUCUUUUAUAUUCGACCUAUUUUUAUCAUUUUAUUUCUAUGAUAAUUGUAAUUUUAUUUGUACCAUUCUAGUGAAUUUACCAUUAUAUUUGAACAUGGCCAAAACUGAAAAUUCAUUUGAUGAAAUUCAAACUCGGUCCAAUUUAAUUUGAAUAUAAAAAAAAUCAACAAUUUAAACUUGUUAAAUCCAAACUUGAAAAUAAUUUAAAACUAAAAAUAAUUUAAAAUUAAAAUAAUUCAAACCCAAAUUUACCUAACCCAAAAAUCAAUGUGACGUGCUAGUUGAAUACAAUAUUCUAAUACAAAAUAGGUAGUGAUUAGUGCUUGAAGAAAAUUCAAAUCUUGAUGUAACACUACACCAAAACAGGCUUUUAGCGGCGUUUUUAGUGGCGCUUGGACAAAUAAUGGGGUCAAGGGGUCACCACUCGGUGUGGGAUUCUCGCCUUUUUAAUUAUGGAAGCUGGGAAGUAUGUACUUCUACCUAAACAUUUCUUAAUGAAUAGCUUGUUUAAAGAUUUUGGCUUCCUCCCUUCCAGUUGUAAAUAUUAUUUCUUAGUUGUUGCUUUAGGUACUGAGGUAUCUUCUUUCAUAUGCAAGAUGGUGGCUGGAGGAGUAUAAGUUUGAUGGGUACAGAUUUGAUGGUGUGACUUCAAUGAUGUACAAGAUUUCCUUGAUGAAGUAAAUGUAUUAUUUAUUUGAGUAAGAAAAUGCAUUGUAUGUUUUAUUACCUUGCAUAAGUAUUAUUUAUUUUAGUUUUGAUUCUAAAUUUUUAUUUUUACUUAAUAAUUCUAACUUUUGGAUUUUAAUUGUGUUAUUAAUGUAUUAUUUUAAAUUCUAAAUUUAAAUUCAUUAAUUUUUAUAUUUAGUUUUAAAGUUAAAAUUUUUGUAGAAAAUUUAAUUUAAAUAAUAUUUUUUAUUUAUCUUUAAAAUAUAAUUUAUCAUAGAAAUAAAUAUUAUUUAAAAAAUUAUUUUUUUAAAAGAUAUGUUUUUAGCGGCGUUUGUGGGAAAAGCGCCGCUAAAGGUCUUGAUCUAUAGCGGCGUUUGUGGGAAAAGCGCCACUAAAGGUCCUGAUCUAUAGCGGCGUUUGUGCGAAAAGCGCUGCUAAAGGUCCUGGUCUAUAGCGGCGUUUGUUGUAAAAGCGCCGCUAAAGGUCCUGCUCUAUAGCGGCGUUUGUGGAAAAGCGCCGCUAAAGGUCCUGAUCUAUAGCGGCGUUUGGGAAAAAGCGCCGCUAAAGGUCUUGAUCUAUAGCGGCGUUUAUUUCUAUAAACGUCGCGGCGUUGACAACAAUGGCGUUUUUUGCGGCGCUUUCAAAAACGCCGCAAAUACUUUUAGCGGCGUUUUAAAGACCUGUUUUGGUGUAAUGUAAACAUUUGCAGCUUCCUUGAAAUAUCAUUACAUCAUAUCAAAAAUAUAAGUUAAAAUUAUAAAGAUAUAAGUUGUUAAAAUGGUGAAAUUGCAUUUUAUCUGUCACAAAAAUAUAUAACUUAAUUCCAACACUUGGAAAAAUUUUCUGACUUCCCCCUGAUUAAACUUCUUAUCACGCAGUCCAACAUUUGUAACUAAACAAAUAAUAUUCUUAUUUGUAAGGUUCGUAUAACAAAGGGAUACAUAUCAAAAUUACACAUAAAAUUUGAUCUAAUAUGCAAUUUGAUACAUGAAUUUUGAUUUGAUGCAAUUGUACACAUCAAACUUUGAUUAUGAUUCAAAUGUAUACAUAAAACAUUUAAAGAAAUAAAUACAUUACUUUAUUUUUUGUAUUAGAUAAAUUAAAUUAUUUAUGUAUGUAAUAUAAAAUACAAAAUUAUGUUAUAUCGAUAAUUCUAUUAAUAAUUUAUAAAAUUUAAAUAAAAAAGAUUUCAUAUAUAAAAUCAUAAUUUUUUAGAUUUAUCCAUAUAGCAAACAACUCCAAGUUGUGGGACAUAUAAGCCAUGCAUGCGUCAUAUCAAACGUACAAAAAACUUCUAAAGAUAGGGAAAUACUAAGUCAAUGUGUCUUUGUGCUGAAAGAAUGUUGAAUUCAAUUAUAAUUCUACAAAUUAUGCACUUGUAAGUCCAUAAUAUAAAUAAAUGAACAUGAAAUUACUUUAUCAUGUCAUAUUCCAUGAUUUGCUGACAGGAUCUUUAUCUUCCACCUGCUUUUCCUGGCAAAUUAAGAAAGACCAACUUAAGCUCCAAGCAAGUCUAGUGGGUCCUUCUGUAUAGUAUUCUAAUACUUUAAAUUAUACAUUUAAUUGAUUUUAGUAGUUAAAUUUUAUUAUUAGAUUGAUUUUAUGUGUAAGUUGUAACUCUAUUCUUUAGAUUGAUUUUUUUUAAUCCUUAAGAUUUUUGGAUUUUAAAAUUCAAUCCUAACUCAAAAGGAACGACAGUAGUUAAAUUCAUUAAGUAAUAUAAUACCGUUUUUGUGAGUAUUAUUUGUAAAUAAAAAGCUAAUAUAGUAUCACACAUGAUAAUAUAUUUGUUGUAUAAUAUUUUAAAAAUAAUAAAUCUAACUGCUAUUGUACAAGCCCAAUUUUGAACCUGGGCCCAAGAACCCAAAACCAAUUAACGCACCUAGACUAAACCCAAAUCCGAAUGGCCCAAUUACAACACCCAAAACCCAAACAGAACCUGACCCAACUACCCAAUUACACCCACCAACCCAAUAAGCCCAAAAUCUAAAAGCCCAAUGCUCAUUUUCAGAAAAAACAAAUCAGCCUAGGGUUUUAGAAACUGAAACCCUAGCCCCUAACCAAGUGGCGCCGCACCCUACCCCUAGCCUCUGCCACCGCCACCAACGUCAUGCCACCACCGCCACGGUCACGUCACCACCACCACUUGCACCGUCACCUGCAAAGAAGAAACAAAACAAAGAAAAAGAUAGCAAAGAACACAAGCAGUAGAGAAUUGGUUAUAAAAGCCGAAUAUGUAACUCUUUUCUUUUUUCUUUUUAGCUAGCUAUCUAUGUAACACAAAAAAACAGAUAGUAGCAAAAAAAGAAAACGAAAAUAAACAGAUUCAAGGUGAUUUUGGCCAUUCUAUUUUUCUGUUUCUUUUUUUUCCCCUUUUUGCAAGUUUUUUUUUUAUUAUUCAUUUAGAUUUUAUCUCAUUUAAAACAAAAAAAAAGAGUGAGUGUACCUGGUGAAGGCCGCGACCUCGCCGUCGGGAGGGGUUUUCUUCUCCGUUGUCCGAUUUGGGCUUAGGGAGGAUUGAAAAUCCCUUUUCUUCGGUCCGGCGGGUUGAGAGAGCAUCGGCUCUCAAGGAUACCUCACAACGAAGGCUAGAAAGCCUUGUUUCGCAACGCCGGCCUUGGCUCGCGGCGACGGAGCGGUGGUGGACGGAGGGUUGAGAGAAAAAGUCAAGUAUUUGAAGUUUUUUUAAAAGAUGGUGGCUAAAUAAGGGUUAUUAGAAAUUUUUGUUUUAAAUAACCCUAUAAAACGGCGUCGUUUGGGCUUAAUGUUCAGAGACCAAAAACGGCGUCGUUUUGGUCUCUAACCCGCGCGGUGACUCGACCCUGGGGGAGGAUCUGCGUGUUUUCUUCAAAUGGGUUAUUUAUGCGCGUAGUCCCUCCUAUUUUUCAGCGCAUUACAAUUUGGUCCUAUUUCGUUGUUUUCUUUUAUUUUGAUCUAACCCUAAAAUUUUACUUUUGUUUCAUUUUAGUCCACUGAAGUGCUGCGUUUUAGAACUUUGGUUUAUUUACUAUGUUUGUCCCCCCUUUUUGGCGCGCGUCACAAUUUAAUCCUUUUUUUGUUUUUUAUUUCAAUUUCACCCAAUACAUUCGUUUUUAUUUCAAUUUAGUCCAUAUUCUAGUAUUCUUAUUAUUAUUAUUACCUACUUAUUUAUAUUUUUUAUUCAAAUCUCGAUAUAUAUAUACAUGUAUAUAUUUUUAUGAUAUAAAUACAUUAUUUUUUUAUAACUUAUAUAUACUUAUAUAUUUUUACAUAUUUUACAACUUAUAUACAUAUCUAUAUAUCUAUAUUUUUAUUUUCAUAAAUACAUAUACCUACUUAUAUACAAUCUUUAUAAUUUAAAACAUACCUUUUUAUAUACUUUUUUAAAUUCAUACAUACAUACAUAUAUAUAUUAUGUUAUUCACUACUAUUGUUUUAUUUGGUGUUAAUUUAUUUACUUAUUUACAUGCUCAUUAUCAUUAUUAUUUUAUUUAAGUGCUUUAAUUUUUUAUUUGUUUAUUUACUUUUAUUUUUUGAUUUCUUUUCAUUAUAUAUUUGCCAUAUUAUUUAUUUAUCUUUUCUUAUUUUGCUUGUGUUAUUUAUAUUAUCAUUAUCAUCAUUAUUUUACAUUUUACUCGGAUUUAUCAAAAAAAAAAAUUUUUUUCAAAUAAGGCAAUGUUUUUCAGAAAAAUGGGUGCUGGGUGUCGAUUUUUCUCGUUCAACCAAAUGGCUUAAUAUCCUUUUAAAAAUUUUAAACUAAGGCAAUGUUUUGCGUUUGGAAAUUCGAGAAAACAUGCCCUAAGGUGCUGGGUGUCGAUUUUUCUCGUUCAACCAAAUGGCUUAAUAUCCUUUUAAAAAAAUUUCAAAAUAUGACAAUAUUUUGCGUUUGAAAAUUCGAGAAAACAUGCCCUAAGGUGUUGGGUGUUGAUUUUUCUCAUUCAACCAAAUGGCUAAAUAUCCUUUUAAAAAUUUCAAAAUAAGGCAAUGUUUUGCAUUUGGAAAUUCGAGGAACAUGCCCUAAUGUGCUGGGUUUCGAUUUCUCGAUUGACCGAAUAGCCAAAUAUCCUCUUGAAUUUUCAAUCCAUAUCAUCCGAGUUUUUUUAAGGAUCGUAUUUUAAAUUUCUUUAAAGUUUUCAAUUUUUUGACACUAAGACAUUAAGUAAUUAACUAGAUACCAAUUUUGGGCGUAUCGAGGGUGCUAAUCCUUCCUCGUGCGUAACCGACUCCCGAACCCAUUUUUCUGAAUUUCGUGGAACAAACUUGUUAUUUUAAUAAAAUCAAAUCGUUUAUUAAAAACAACCACUUUUCGAGGUGAUCCGAUCACACCUCAUCAAAAAAAGAUUGGUGGCGACUCCCAUUUUCGUUUUCAUUUUCCAAAACCCAAGUUGACCCCGUUUUCAAUAAAAAAAUGGUGCCAAUAGCUAUCAUUUGAGUUACACAUAAUUUAAAGAAUUUAAUUAUUUUAUAAAUCAAAAUAGUAUCGGUGCCCCUAAUCCUAUGAUAAAAAAAAUUUAUAUUAAGGAGAAGUCUUAGGUUGGACAUCCUAUACCCUGAUUGUAUUUGUGUGAACAUGGUGGUACAAGAGUUGAUUUUUUGGUACUCCAAUGGAAGAAAGAGCCAACAAAAAUAUAGAAAAUAUAAUUGACACUUCCAGAAGAUUUUCGUAUGUCAAAAUGAGAUUACGUAUAUACAAAGAAAAUUGAGAUGUAGAUCACUAGAUGUAAACAUUUGAGGCUGCCAUGAAACAUCAUUACACCAUAUCAAAAUCAGACCCUAAGAAAGAGUCGAUUUCUGUAGAAGGUCCCUACCCUAUAUAUAUUGUGAAUUUAGUCCUUUCAUAUAAUUCGGUAUUUUUAAUCUCUCCCUUUUUUGGAAAUUACAAAUUCAAUUCAUAGAGAAGGACACCAAAAUUGGUUAUACAAAUCAAAAAACUUUUUUUUUAUGUCUAUGAGACUUUACCCGAAAUCUAAUUUAUUAUUAAUAUGCAGUGUAAGAUGUGAUUUAAGUUCAACUUUCUCACUAAAUUGUAACAUCUCGCUCCUAUGUAUCAAUAUAAGAUCAUUUUCUCCCACUAAGACUUUCCCUUGAAAUCUUAGCUUCAAACUGAAAAAAUUCAAUAUUCUAAUACAAUAUUUUAAAACAAUAUUCAUAAAUCAGACAUGCUAGAAGUAUUAAUUUCCACGAACAGUGUGACAUACUAGUUGAAUACAAUAUAUCGCUCCUAUGUAUCAAUAUAAGAUCAUUUUCCCUCACUAAAACUUUCCCUUGAAAUCUUAGCUUCAAACUAAAAAAAAUUCAAUAUUCUAAUAUAAUAUUCAUAAAUCAGGCAUGCUAGAAGUAUUAAUUUCCAUGAACAGGGUGACAUGCUAGUUGAAUGCAAUAUUCUAAUACAAAAUAGGUAGUGAUUAGUGCUUGAAGAAAAUUCAAAUCUUGACGUAAACAUUUGCAGCUGCCUUGAAAUAUCAUUACAUCAUAUCAAAAUCAGACUAUUUUUUUAACUGAAAAAAAUUGAGUUAAGUUAAAUAUCACUCAUAAAUCAUAGCGUCUCUUCCAAGUUUUGGGAAGAGAUUAUGGGAAAAACUAUUAGCUGCUCUAUUUUACUAGCUUUAAUAUCUUGCUUUUACUUACUAUUUCCACUGCUUCACACACUAUAACAGCAUCAAAAUCCAUCAAAGACCCUUAUUGGGAAUUAUCCAUAUUUAUGGAACAUCAAAGAUAUGGGUAUCAAAUAAUAGAAAGUCAAAGAUAUGGGUAUCAAAUAUUGGAAAGUCAAAUAUAUGGGUACCGAGAUAUUGGCAUAAUAAAAUCUGAGAUAUUUGCAAUAUAUGGUCCCUAAUUGUAAAGUGACUUUGCAAGUUGAUCCCUGAACCUCAACUAUAAAUAAGCAUGACCAUCUCUCAUUUUGUAUCUCAAACUUGCAAUUCUCUACUUAAGGCAUUGUUUUCUCUCUCUCUCUUUGUAAAUUCUCACUUGUAUUUUGGAGUGAAAUAUAUUUGGUAGUGCCCGAGGACGUAGGCAAAAUUUGCUGAACCUCGUUAAAUUCUUGUGUUCUUUAUUGUAUUAUUCUGCAUGAAUUGUGAGUGUGAUUGUAGUGAUUUAUUGUGCUAUUAAAUUAUGAUUGAAGGAUAUUCUGGAUAGGAAAGACCUGGUACUUAAGCGAUCCUUGUGAUCCACCUCUCUUUCCUGGGAAUUGAACUUAGUGUGAUUUUUUAGUACAAUAAUUUUACUCUUUUACACGCUUCCGCACAACAAUUGGUAUCAGAGCUAGAUUCGUACUUGGGGAAUACGAUCAUUCACGGCACUAUUCACGUACUGUAGUUGGGAUUGAGGAGAAAAAAUGGAAAAGGCAUCGUCAUCAACAAAGACUACUGUGACCAAUGUGAAAUUUGAAGUAGAAAAAUUUGAUGGUACCAAUAAUUUUGGUAUGUGGCAAUGUGAGAUCCUGGAUGUCUUAUGUCAGCAAGAGCUGGAUAUAGCCCUUGAAGAAAAACCUGACAAGAUGGAUGACAAGGAGUGGGCCAAGAUCAAUAGACAGGCAUGUGGAACAAUUCGCCUAUGUUUGGCCAAAGAGCAGAAGUACUCUGUCAUGAGGGAGACAUCAGCGAAGAAGUUGUGGGAUACACUGGAAGAAAAGUUUCUAACAAAAAGUCUUAAAAAUAGACUUUAUAUGAAAAAAAAACUUUAUCGAUUCACGUAUGCACCCGGUAUGUCGAUGAAUGACCAUGUGAACUCAUUCAAUAAAAUUUUAGCAGACUUGCUAAAUUUGGAUGAGAAAUUUGAAGAUGAAGACAAGGCAUUACUGUUGUUGAAUUCUCUUCCUAAUGAAUAUGAUCAUCUUACCACCACAUUGCUUCAUGGGAAGGAUACAAUCAUAUUUGAUGAAGUCUGUAGUGCGUUGUAUAGAUCUGAGACUCGAAAGAAAGAUAAAAACGAUCACAGAAAUACAACUACAGAAGUCUUAAUAGUAAGAGGUUGUUCGCGCAGCAACAAAUCUAGUAGAAGGAGUAAGUCCAAAGGGAGACCUGCCAAAGAUGAAUGUGCUUUUUGUCGUGAGAAAGGGCAUUGGAAAAAGAAUUGUCCUAAGUUACAAAAGGGUAGAGCUAUUUCUGAUGCAUGUAUAGCGGAGCAUGAUGAGGAGUCAGACUUUAGCUUGGUUGGCAUGGCAAUGGCAUGUCAUACAGAUGAGUGGAUUUUGGAUUUGGGAUGUACUUACCAUAUGUGUCCUAAUAAGGAUUGGUUUUCUAGUCUUAAAGAACUAGAAGGUGGAGUUGUUUUUAUGGGUAAUGAUAGCGCUUGUAAGACAAUGGGAGUAGGUACAAUCCAAUUGAAGAAUCAUGAUGGCUCAAUUCAAGUCUUGAUUGAUGUUCGCUACAUACCUAGCUUGAAGAAAAAUCUUAUCUCAUUAGGGGUCCUAGAAUCUAAAGGGCUCACAAUCACUGUGAGAGAUGGAUUACUAAAGGUAGUAGCUACGGUAUUGACGGUGAUGAAAGGCACAAGAAGGAAUAAUCUGUACUAUUUAAAUGGAAGUACAGUUAUUGGAUCAACAUCAACAGCUUCUAUGAAAUAUGCAGAUUCAGAGGCUACCAGGUUAUGGCAUAUGCGAUUGGGACAUGCUGGUGAAAAAGCUUUGCAGAGUUUGGCGAAGCAAGGCUUGUUGAAAUGUGCAAAUUCUUGCAAAUUGGAAUUCUGUGAACAUUGUGUUCUGGGCAAGCAGACGAGGAUAAAAUUUGGUUCAGCAAUUCACAAUACAAAAGGAAUUCUAGACUACGUUCACAGUGAUGUGUGGGGACCUACUAAAGUGGCUUCUUUGGGAGGUAUGCACUAUUUUGUUACUUUUUUUGAUGAUUAUUCAAAAAAAGUAUGAGUGUAUCUAAUGAAAAGGAAAAAUGAAGUUUUGGAUGUAUUUCUGAAAUAGAAGAGUAUGGUGGAGACCCAGAUUGGUCGAAAAGUCAAACGACUUCGAUCAGACAAUGGUACUGAGUACAAGAAUGAUUCAUUUCUACAAGUAUGUCACGAUGAAGGCAUUGUACGACACUUCACUGUUUGAGAUACACCACAACAGAAUGGGGUGGCAGAACAUAUGAAUCAGACUAUACUGGAGAAAGUUCGAUGUAUGUUGUCCAAUGCUGGAUUGGGCAAAUAAUUUUGGGCUGAGGUAGUUACAUAUGCGUGCCAUCUAAUUAACCGAUUACCAUCAGCUGCAAUAAAUGGAAAAACUCCUAUGGAGAGGUGGGCUGGUAAACCUGCUACUGAUUAUGAUUCUUUACAUGUUUUUGGUUCCACUGCAUAUUAUCAUGUAAAAGAAUCUAAGUUAGACCCAAAAGCAAAGAAAGCAUUAUUCAUGGGUAUUACUGGUGGAGUAAAAGGAUACCGUCUCUGGUGUCCUGAUACAAGGAAAAUUAUUUUCAGUAGAGAUGUGGCUUUUGAUGAAUCAACCAUGAUGAAGAACAAUGAUUCACUAAAGGAUAACACAACCAGUGGCACUUUGCAGCAGGUGGAGCUUGAAAAGGUUAAUGAUGAUCUAGCUAAUAUUUAAGGAACAAAUGAUGAUAAAGUUUCGACCCAAGAACUUCUACAGCAACAUGAUUCAAUUGCAUAUAGAAGGCCAAGAAGAGAGAUUCGUAUGCCUGCUCGCUUUGAUGAUAUGGUGGCCUAUGCACUUCCAAUGCAGAUGAUGAUGUUCCUUCUACUUACACAGAAGCAAGAAGUAACCCUGAUGGUGUAAAGUGGAAGCAAGCUAUGAAUGAAGAAAUGCAGUCUCUUCAUAAAAAUAGGACUUGGGAGUUGGUGACACUACCCAAAGGAAAGAAGGCAAUUGGAUGCAAAUGGGUAUAUGCAAAGAAGGAAGGAUUUCCUGAUAAAAAUGAAGUUCGAUACAAGGCUAGAUUGGUAGCAAAGGGUUACGCUCAGAAAGAAAGAAUAGACUACAAUGAAAUAUUUUCUCCAAUUGUAAAGCAUUCGUCUAUUCGGAUUUUGCUAGCCUUGGUUGUGCAAUAUGAUCUUGAACUAGUUCAGCUCGAUGUGAAGACCGCAUUUUUUACACAGUGAUUUGGAAGAGGAAAUCUAUAUGACUCAGCCAGAUGGAUUCAAGGUUGCUGAUAAAGAAAAUUGGGUUUGCAAACUGACAAAGUCGCUUUAUGGAUUGAAACAUUCUCCGAGGCAGUGGUACAAGCGAUUUGAUCAGUUCAUGAAAGGGCAAAGGUAUACAAGAAGUAAAUUUGAUCAUUGCGUGUAUUUUCAAAAGCUAUAAGAAGGAUUUUUCGUAUACUUGCUCUUAUAUGUUGAUGAUAUGUUGAUAGCAUCUAAGGGUAAAGUUGAAAUUGAGAGAUUGAAGACUCAACUCAACCUUGAGUUUGAGAUGAAAUAUCUAGGUGAAGCUAAGAAGAUCCUUGGCAUGGAAAUAUGUAAGGAUAGAGCUCAUGGCAGAGUUAGUUUGUCUCAGAAGCAAUAUUUAAAGAAGAUACUACAGAAGUUUGGCAUGAACGAGCAGACUAAAGCUGUAAGUACCCCGUUGGCUUCUCAUUUCAAGCUUUCUGCACAAUUAUCUCCUUCGACAAAUACGGAACAAGAAUACAUGUUACAAGUUCCGUAUUCUAAUGCAGCAGGUAGCUUGAUGUAUGCAAUGGUGUCUACAAGACCCGACAUUUCACAGGCAGUUAGUAUAGUGAGCAGGUAUAUGCAUAAUCCUGGAAAAGGACAUUGGCAAGCUGUGAAAUGGAUUCUACGGUAUAUUCAUAAGACCAUGGAUAUUGGAUUACUGUUCAAGCAGGAUACUACACUUGGUAAAGGUGUUGUUGGGUACGUUGAUUCUGAUUAUGCCGGUGAUUUGGACAAACGGAGAUCAACCACUGGUUAUGUGUUUACUCUUGUUGGAGGACCAAUAAGUUGGAAGUCUACACUGUAGUCUACAGUUGCGUUGUCAACCACAGAAGCUGAAUACAUGGCUGUAACAGAGGCUGUAAAGGAAGCUAUUUGGUUACAAUGUAUGGUUAAAACCUUGGGAUUGGUUCAGGAGCAUAUUAAUGUGUAUUGUGAUAGUCAAAGUGAUAUUCAUUUAGCAAAGAAUCAAGUCUAUCAUGCACGUACAAAGCAUAUCAACAUACGUUUCCAUUUUGUGCGGGAAAUUAUUGAUGAGGGGAAAAUUCACCUUCUGAAGAUUAAGACUGUAGAUAAUCCCGCAGAUAUGAUGACCAAGGUGGUAACAACAAUCAAGUUCAAACAUUGUUUGAACUUGAUCAAUAUUCUGCAUGUUUAACAGUUGAAGAAGGCACUAUCAAGUGUUGUUGACAAAGGCAGAGAGAAUUGUGUGAAGAUAAGAUUACUCGAAUCAAAUCUUCAAGGUGGAGAUUAUUGGGAAUUAUCCAUAUUUAUGGAAAAUCAAAGAUAUGGGUAUCAAAUAAUAGAAAGUCAAAGAUAUGGGUAUCAAAUAUUAGAAAGUCAAAUAUAUGGGUACCGAGAUAUUGGCAUAAUAAAAUCUGAGAUAUUUGCAAUAUAUGGUCCCUAAUUGUAAAGUGACUUUGCAAGUUGAUCCCUGAACCUCAACUAUAAAUAAGCAUGACCAUCUCUCAUUCUGUAUCUCAAACUUGCAAUUCUCUACUUAAGGCAUUGUUUUCUCUCUCUUUCUUUGUAAAUUCUCACUUGUAUUUUGGAGUGAAAUAUAUUUGGUAGUGCCCGAAGACGUAGGCAAAAUUUGCUGAACCUCGUUAAAUUCUUGUGUUCUUUAUUGUAUUAUUCUGCAUGAAUUGUGAGUGUGAUUGUAGUGAUUUAUUAUGCUAUUAAAUUACGAUUGAGGGAUAUUCUGGCUAGGAAAGACCUGGUACUUAAGCGAUCUUUGUGAUCCAUCUCUCUUUCCUGGGAAUUGAACUUAGUGUGAUUUUUUAGUACAAUAAUUUUACUCUUUUACACGCUUCCGCAUAAUCUCCCAGAAUGGUGUUUUCUGAUUGAGAUUCUUCAGCUUGGCUAACUCCAGCAAUCGUUAUGUAGGGAUAUUGUACCAUCAAAUCCACGUUCAAACUGUUGUUUGGGUGGCAAAUAGAAACAGGCCUCCCAAAGACUUUUCUGGGAUUCUCACCAUAUCAGAUGAUGGCAACCUUGUUGUUUCCAAUGGAAAAGCUUAGAUUAUUUGGUCAAAAAAUGUAACGAAUUUGGUUCCUAAUGCAACAACUGCAUAGCUUUUAGACUCCGGAAACCUUGUCCUCAAUAACGGUGAGAAUGGAGGAAGCAGCAUCUUAUGAGAGAGUUUUCAACACCCUUCUAAUGUAUUCCUUCAAACUAUAAAGAUCAGCACUGAUGUAAAAACGGGUCGUAAGGUGCAGACGAGAUCAUGGAAAAGCCCUGAUGAUCCAUCCGAUGGCAACUUUUUUCAAGGCAUUGAACCUUUCAGCAUCCCAGAGGGUGUCAUUUGGAACAAUAACCAGAUAUAUUUUCGGACCGGCCCAUGGAAUGGUCGUAUCUAUAUUGGUUUAAUAAAUGUUAAUAGAGUUGAUUUUGAUGGUUUUAUGUGGUUGCAGAUGAUGUAGAAUAAACUUAUUACGAAACUUACAAAUAUUCUACUGACUCUAGGUUGAUAUACUAUGAAUUAGAGUCUAACGGAAGAUACGUUGAACGAAUAUGGGAUGCGGGGAAAGGGGACUGGAUAAACGGGUACUCUAGUUAUCUAACAGAUUGUGAUGUUUAUGGGAAGUUUGGGGCAUUUGGAUUCUGUGAUUCAACGAAACGACCCAUUUGCAGUUGUUUGAAAGGAUUUAAGCCUAGGAAUAUAGAGGAAUGGAGUAGUGGGUUUUUUAGGACUACCCCUUUGCACUGCCAAAGAGAUAACAAAAAUGGAAGUGAAGCAGGCCAAGGAGAUGAUGGGUUUUUAAAGCUGAAGAAGAUAAAAGUACCGGCAUUUCCAGACCAGUCACCAAUAACUAACGGCGAAUGCAAAGAUCAAUGCAUGAAGAAUUGUUCGUGCGUCGCUUAUGAGUAUGAUGCUGGCAUUGGUUGCAUGUUAUGGAGUGGAGAUUUGAUUGAUGUCCAGAAAUUCUCUAAUCGGGGAGUCGACCUUUACAUUCGUCUGCCGUCUUCGGAACGUGGUAAACUUGUCUUCCAUAUCGACCAUGUGUGUGACGAAUUGCAUCAAUUAAUCUUCAUUUUUGGUUUAGAUGUUUUAUUAACCAUGUUUCUGGAUUUGCAGAUAAAAGGAAUAGUGAGAUAAUUGUUAUUACAACAGUAAAUUCAGGCAUGGUGGUGAUUAUAAUAAUUUCUGCACUCUUCUUAUUGCGUAGAAUGGGUCAACAAAUAGGUAAAAUGUACACCUUUAUUUAUUUAAUCUUUUUAGUCACUUUUUUUAAGAAAUAUGUAAAUUCUUUAAGAGUUCUCUUCGGGUAAAAUUGAAUUUAAAGGUAUUUUUUACUCGAUUUAAAUUCAAAUUUUAGAUAAAAUAAAAUAAAACUGAAAUAGAAUUGAGUCAAACUCGAAUACGGAGAAAAGCUCUAAACUUGAUUGAGUACUAUUGUAAAAGUUAAAAGACUGAAUUCAAGUGAAAUUAAAUUAUUUCAGUUUUGCUCGAUUAAGUUCGUUUAUAUAAAUUACAUAUUCGUAUUUGAUUUUAUAUAUAUAUUCGUUUAUAUAAAUUAUUUCAGAUAUACUUUUAUAUUUAAAUAAACUGGACCAUGUGUUAGAUAAAUUGGGUGAAUUAAUUUGCAAUUCUUUUGGGUCGAAGUUUCAUAAACCAAUUUUUUGGAUUUGCAGAUAAAGGGAAAAGUAGUAAGGUCGUCUUUGUUAUUACAACAGUAACUGUGGGCAAUUAUGUAGCCUUCAACUCAUUGCUUUUUUGAUUUCUAUCACAGGAAGGAAUAAAAGACGGACACAGAUCGAAGACAAAUUUCAUGGUGAAAAUAUAGGAGAAAGUUCAAUCGGUGUUAAUCUCCAGCAGCUUCCACUAUUCAAUUUCGAAGAACUUGCCACCGCGACCAACAACCAUCCCCAAAAAAAGCUAGGGCAGGGUGAUUUUGGUCCGGUUUACAAGGUAAUAUAUAAUAGCGAUUUUCGGUUGGUAGGAUAAUCAUCACCGGCCCAAAGCCGGAUUAUAAUGAGCUCGUAGGCCAGGCUCGUUAGUCGAGAAAUUUGUAAGAAAGCAAGUUCAACUUGCGAGUUCACUACAAUCUAACCCAAACCCAUUCAAAUUUUGAGCAGAUGAUGAUAAUUAUCCUAAAACCGGUGAAUCCAUGAGUCAAUGAAAUGACAUUUUUUUUUCAAUCUAAUUAUUGUAGUUUGAAUUUUGAGUGCAGGGAACAUUAGAUGAUGGAAAUGAAUCCACCAAAUUCCUUCAGAAAUAUGGCCUUCGGGAGAAUCAUCAGCACCAUGGGAUGUUCAAAGGAAUCCACCAACACCUUAUCAAAACCAGCUGAAGGAAGCCUUAAAUGAAUAUUGGUCCAACAUACCAGAUCCAAAAGAAUGGUCUCAAGAUUAUCCAAUGCAUUGCAGUCAGAUAAUCCAAGAUACACAUGAUGAAGGACCAAGUGUUUCACAAAUGACAAAACCUUCACCAAUUCCCAAAAGUAAUAAUGAUGAUGUGAUUCCACCAAAUGAUCUGGAAAGCAGGAUUGAAAAGCUAGAGCUUAGGUGUUACAGAGCCCGUGAAAAGAAAAGACAGAAAGUGGAAGAACUCAACAUCACCUCUGAUAUUGAUACAAACUAUGACACAGAUACAGAUACAGAUGUAUCAAUAAUAGAUAAGUUAAUGUAAAAGCAGAUUCCUCCUUAUCUGCUUAUGUCCUUUAUGUAUGAGUCAUGUCCUUUAUGUUUGUAAAAGCAGAUUCCUCCUUAUCUGCUUAUGUCCUUUAUGUAUGAGUCAUGUCCUUUAUGUUUGUAAAAGCAAAUUCCUCCUUAUCUGCUUACUUCUACUUUUCCCCUCUAUAUAAGCACGGGGAAGUCUCAGAUGUAAAAUAAGAACUUCCUUUGAAAUAAAACCCAAAAGAGUUUUUAUAAAUCUAUGGCUUUCUAAACCUCUUUCAUCUCUUCUUACUUGAAAAUAGAAUUUCUAUGAAAGAAAAUCUCUCAUUAGUUUAAGAGUAUGCUCUGUGCUUGCCAUACUCAUGGAUCCUGCACAUCAGAAAUUAAAUAUGAUAAAAGAUAUUAUUAAGUUCAGUUGAGUUUGAAGAAGGAAUUCAGUGAUUAAAGAGAUUAACAGCUAAAAGGCAGUGCCUUGUUGAUGGCCAGAAAAGAGAUGAAAGGCCUGUGUUUUGGCAUAGCAUACCUGCUGUUACUCAUCGUUAAUUGCUGAUCUCUAGCUUCUUACUCACCUACCCUCAAUUGGUUGGGACUUGGCAUAUUUACCUAUUUAGUCCUUUUAAAUUUUCUUUAAUCUAUAAUUAAACUUUUACCCUUGUUGCAAUUUAGCCCUUUUUAAUCAAUUAACCAUCGGAACAUUAAAAUUUCUUAACGAAACUUUAAUACUACCCUAAUGACACUCCAAAAAUAUUUAUAAAAAUAUUUACGACUCAAUUUAUAAUAUCGAGGUCUCGAUACCUCGUUUUUGACCCAAUUUUCCUAAUAAUUUCUUUUAAAUCACAAAAUUCGCUAAUUCAAAAAUAUUUCUAAAAUCACGCUGAACUUAUAAUUAUUAAUUAAUAAAUUUUUCUAACGUUUUCAUCAGAUUUAGUGAUCUCAAAUCACUAUUCUGACACUACUGAAAAUUGGGCUGUUACACUUUGACUUCUAAAAAUAUUGAAAUUUUGAUUUAGUCCUUUAAAAUUAUAAAGAUAUAAGUUAGUAAAAUAGUGAAAUUGCAUUUCAUCUCUCACAAAAAUAUAUAACUUAAUUCCAAUCCCUAGAAAAAUUUUCUGACUUCCUCUAAUUAAACUUCUUAUCACUCAAUCCAACAUCUGUAGCGAAGCAAAUAUCCUUAUUUGUAAGAUCCGUAUUUUUAAUCUCUCCGCUUUCUGGAAAUUACAAAUUCAAUUCAUAGAUAUGGAAACUAAAAUUGGUUAUACAAAUCAAAAAACCUUUUUACGUCUACGAGACUUUACCCAAAAUCUAAUUUAUUAUUAAUAUGCAGUGUAAGAUGUGAUUUAAGUUCAACUUUCUCACUAAAUUAUAACAUCGCUCCUAUGUAUUAAUAUAAGAUCAUUUUCCCCCACUAAGACUUUCCCAUGAAAUCUUAGCUUCAAACUGAAAAAAAUUUAAUAUUCUACAAUAUUCUAAUACAAUAUUCAUAAAUCAGACAUGCUAGAAGUAUUAAUUUCCAUGAACAGGGUGACAUGCUAAUUGAAUACAAUAUUCUAAUACAAAAUAGGUAGUGAUUAGUGCUUGAAGAAAAUUCAAAUCUUGAUCUAAACAUUUGCAGCUGCCUUGAAAUAUCAUUACAUCAUAUUAAAAUCAGACUAUUUUUUUAACUGAAAAAAAAUUGAGUUAAGUUAAAUAUCAUUCAUAAAUCAUAGCGUCUCUUCCAAGUUCUGGGAAGAGAUUAUGGGAAAAACUAUUAGCUGCUCUGUUUUACUAGCUUUAAUAUAUUGCUUUUACUUACUAUUUGCCACUGCUUCACACACUAUAACAGCAUCAAAAUCCAUCAAAGACCCUGAUGUUAUAAUCUCCCAGAAUGGUGUUUUCCGAUUGGGAUUCUUUGUUGGAGAAUAAAACGUGAGAGAGCUAAAAUAAUAUAUAGGAAAGUUACUCUCUUAUUAAUGAAUUCUAGAUGAGUAAAAACAAAGAAUAAGUGCCUAUAUUUAUAGGCUUACAUGGAAACUAACUUAACAUAAAAAUAGCUAACAAAUUAUUUGGUCAAGCUAAAAAAUCUGAAACUACCAAGAUUUUCUAAACAUCCCACUAAUAUGUUAUUUUGAAUUAUUCUCAACACUCCCCCUUAAUUCAAAGUUGCAGACACCAAGUAAACUUCUAAAAUAGCAAAACUUCUCUUUUGAUAAUGCUUUUGUUAACAUAUCUGCCAGCUGCUCUUCAGUGUUGCAAUAUUCCAAAGAUAUCUCCCCUUUUGCUACCAAAUCACGAAUGAAAUGAUAACAAAUAUCUAUGUGCUUUGUUCUACUAUGAAAUGUUGGAUUCUUUAUCAUGGAGAUCGUGGAUUUGUUGUCACAAACUAUGGUAGUUGCACAUUUCUGCUCUUAUUGGAGAUCGGUUAACAUUCUCCUUAGCCAAAUGGCUUGACAAGCUGUUGCAGUUGCUGCUACAUAUUCAGCCUCUGAGGUUGGCAAUACUGUUGUAGCUUGCUUCGUAGAACUCCAAGUGAUCACCCCAGAACCUAGAGUAAAAACAAAUAUUGAUACACUUCUUCUGUCAUCUAGAGAACUUGCCCAAUCACUAUCUGUGAACCCACACAAUCUGAAAUCUGAAGUUUUUGAGUACCAAAUGCCAUACUCCAAAGUUCCAGCAAUGUAUCGCAAUACUCGUUUUGCUGCUCCAUAAUGAACCUUUGAAGGUUGCUGCAUAAACCUGGAAAUAACACCAACAGAAAAUGCAAUAUCGGGUCUAGUGUGAGUCAAAUAGAUUAAACCUCCAACCAAGCUUCUAAACCUCCUUGCAUCUGUCAUUUCUUCUCCAUCCUCUUGCUGCAAUUUUUCAUUGAUAUUCAUGGGUGUAGCUGCAGGCUUGCAAUUAAGCAUACUAAAUUUACUGAGAAGAUCCUUGGCAUAUUUCCUUUGUGAGAUAAAAAUUCCAUCGUUAGCUUGAUGAAUUUCAAGACCGAGGAAAUAAUGCAAUAAACCCAUAUCGGAUAUCUCAAAUUCAUUCAUCAUUUGAGACUUAAAUUCAUCAACCAGUAAGUUAGAGAAACUAAUAUAAAUGAUUUCAUCAACCCACAGGUCCUAGGAUCGAAACCUGACUCUGAUACCAAAUUUGUUGGAGAAUAAAAUGUAAGAGAGAUAAAAUAAUAUGUAGAAAAGUUACUCUCUUAUUAAUGAAUUCUAGAUGAGUAAAAACAAAGAAUAAAUGCCUAUAUUUACAGGCUUACAUGGAAACUAACUUAACAUAAAAAUAGCUAACAAAUUAUUUGGUCAAUCUACAAAAUCUGAAACUACCAAGAUACUACCAAGAUUUUCUAAACAUCCCACUAAUAUGUUAUUUUGAAUUAUUCUCAACAUUCUUCAGCUUGGCUAACUCCAGCAAUCGUUAUGUAGGGAUAUUGUACCAUCAAAUCCCCCUACAAACUGUUGUAGGGUGGCAAAUAGAAACAGGCCUCUCAAAGACAUUUCUGGGAUUCUCACCAUAUCAGAUGAUGGCAACCUUGUUGUUUCCAAUGGAAAAGCUGAGAUUCUUUGGUCAACAAAUGUAACGAAUUUGGUUCCUAAUGCAACAACUGCACAGCUUUUAGACUCCGGAAACCUUGUCCUUAAUAACGGUGAGAAUGGAGGAAGCAGCAUCUUAUGGGAGAGUUUUCAACAUCCUUCUAAUGUAUUCCUUCAAACUAUGAAGAUCAGCACUGAUGUAAAAACAGGUCGUAAGGUGCAGACGAGAUCAGGGAAAAGCCCUGAUGACCCAUCUGAUGGCAACUUUGUUCAAGGCAUUGAACCUUUCAGCAUACCGGAGGGUGUCAUUUGGAACAAUAACCAUAUAUAUUUUCGGACCGGCCCAUGGAAUGGGUCGUAUCUAUAUUGGUUUAAUAAAUGUUAAUAGAGUUUAUUUUGAUGGGUUUUAUGUGGUUGCAGAUGAUGUAGAAAAAACUUAUUACGAAACUUACGAAUAUUCUACUGACUCUAGGGUGAUAUACUAUGAAUUAGAGUCUAACGGAAGAUACGUUGAACGAAUAUGGGAUGCGGCGAAAGGGAACUGGAUAAACGGGUACUCUAGUUAUCUAACAGAUUGUGAUGUUUAUGGAAAGUGUGGGGCAUUUGGAAUCUGCGAUUCAACGAAACGACCCAUUUGCAGUUGUUUGAAAGGAUUUAAGCCUAGGAAUAUAGAGGAAUGGAGUAGAGGUAAUUGGAGUAGUGGGUGUUUUAGGACUACCCCUUUGCACUGCCAAAGAGAUAACAACAAUGGAUGUGAAGCAGGCCAAGGAGAUGAUGGAUUUUUAAAGCUGAAGAAGAUGAAAGUGCCAGCAUUUCCAGACCAGUCAUCAAUAACUAACGGCGAAUGCAAAGAUCAAUGCAUGAAGAAUUGUUCGUGUGUGGCUUAUGCGUAUGAUGCUGGCAUUGGUUGCAUGUUAUGGAGUGGAGAUUUGAUUGAUGUCCAGAAAUUCUCUAAUCGGGGAGUCGAUCUUUACAUUCGUCUGACAUCUUCGGAACUUGGUAAACUUGUCUUCCAUAUCGACCAUGUGUGUGACGAAUUGCAUCAAUUAAUCUUCAUUUUUGGUAUAGAUGUUUUAUUAACCAUGUUUCUGGAUUUGCAGAUAAAUGGAAUUGUGAGAUAAUUGUUAUUACAACAGUAAUUUCAGGCAUGGUGGUGAUUAUAAUAAUUUCUGCACUCUUCUUAUUGCGUAGAAUGGGUCAACAAAGAGGUAAAAUGUCCAUCUUUAUUUAUUUAAUCUUUGUAGUCACUUUCUUUUAAGAAAUAUGUAAAUUCUUUAAGAGUUCUCUUCGGGUAAAAUUGAAUUUAAAGGUAUUUUUUACUCGAUUUAAAUUCAAAUUUUAGAUAAAAUAAAAUAAAAUUGAAACAUAAUUGAGUCGCACUCGAAUACGGAGAAAAGCUCUAAACUUGAUUGAGUACUAUUGUAAAAGUUCAAGGUCGAAUGCAAGUGAAAUUAAAUUAUUCAGUUUUGCUCCAUUAAUUUCGUUUCAAUAUGUUACAUAUUCGUAUUUGAUUUUAUAUAUAUAUUCAAGGUUGAAUUCGCACUAAUUUCAGAUAUACUUUUAUAUUUAAAUAAAGUGGACCAUGUGUUAGAUAAAUUGGGUGAAUUAAUUUGCAAUUCUUUUGGGUCGAAGUUUCAUAAACCAAGUUUCUGGAUUUGCUGAUAAAGGGGAAAGUAGUAAGGUCGUCUUUGUUAUUACAACAGUAACUGUGGGCAAUUAUGCAGCCUUCAACUCAUUGCUUCUUUGAUUUCCAUCACAAGAAGGAAUAAAAGACGGACACAUAUCAAAGACAAAUUUCAUAGUGAAAAUAUAGGAGAAAGUUCAAUAGGUGUUAAACUCCAGCAGCUGCCACUAUUCAAUUUCGAAGAAUUUGCCACCGCGACCAACAACUUCCAUCCCGAAAAAAAGCUAGGGCAGGGUGGUUUUGGUCCGGUUUACAAGGUAAUAUACAAUAGCGAUUUCCGGUUGUUAGGAUAAUCAUCACCGGCCCAAAGCCGGAUUAUAAUGAGCUCGUAGGCCAGGCUCGUUAGUUGAGAACUUUGUAGGAAAGCAAGUUCAACUUGCGAGCUCACUACAAUCUGACUCAAAUCCAUUCGAAUUUUAAGCCGAUGAUGAUAAUUAUCCUAAAACCGGUGAAUCCAGAGUCAAUGAAAUGACAUUUUUUUUCAAUCAAGUAUUGUAGUCUGACUUUUGAGUGCAGGGAACAUUAGAUGAUGGAAAGGAAAUAGCAGUGAAGAGAUUGUCGAAAGCUUCAGGGCAAGGUUUGGAAGAAUUUAUGAACGAAGUGGCGGUUAUUUCUAAGCUCCAACAUCGAAAUCUGGUAAAAUUGUUUGGGUGUUGUGUUGAAGCAGAAGAGAAGAUGCUCGUCUACGAGUUUAUGCCCAACAAAAGUUUGGACGCUUUUCUAUUCGGUUAGUAAUUUAUUCAAAUUUUAUAUUAUAUUUUCGGUCUCUAAUCAAAUUCAUAAUUCAGUUGAAUAGGAUCCCUUAAACAAUAAUGUUUUUUUCCAUUCACAAAAUUUAAAUUUAGGUGUAGUGAUAUUUUGAUUCACUUCGCCGUUUAAUAUUUAUUUCAAUUUAUUGACAUAACUUCAAUUAUGUCUACAAUCAUAAUGAAUACAAUAUGGUAGAAAUACUAUGACGGUUGUAGUUUAGAUCCUCAAUUAUAGGAAUUCAUUAUUAAUUUAGUAGGUUUUUAUGUUUAAAUUUUGUUAUAGAUCCCAUUAAACAAAAACUCUUGGAUUGGAGAAACGUUUUAAUAUUAUUGAAGGGAUCAGUCGAGGAUUGCUUUAUCUUUAUAGAGAUUCAAGAUUGAAAAUUAUACACAGAGAUCUAAAAGCAAGUAAUCUUUUACUUGACCAAGAGCUAAACCCAAAGAUUUCAGAUUUUGGGAUAGCCAGGAUCUUUGGAGGUGACGAAAAUCAAGCCAACACUAAAAGGGUUGUCGGAACUUAGUAAGUUGGAACUUCCUUCUUACCAUUUCUUUUUAUGCUCUUUUUAAUAAAAUAUGGUAUAAAUAUGUCUAUGGUCGGAUUUGAUGCUUAAAGAUGAUACAUGUCCAUGCUUGUAUCGAGUUUAAUUUUGUUCAAUUUGUGGACUCAAUUUAUUGUUUUUAAUUUUAUAAAUAAAAUAUUAAAAAUAUAUUUUUAUAUUUUUAUAGUUAACUUUAAAUUAUUUAUUAUUUAUUCUUAAUUCAAGUUGGCUUGUGGACAGGUUUAAAUAAGAGCUGUAAUUGGUGUUGUUUUUUAUGUUAAAAUACAGUGGUUAUAUGUCUCAUGAGUACGCAAUGCAUGGGCGAUUUUUAGAGAAAUCUAACAUGUUCAGUUAUGAAGUUCUACUACUGGAGAUUGUUAGUGGAAGAAGAAACACAAGCUUUUACAACAAGGAUGACCUUAGCCUCUUGGGAUAUGUAAGUUUAUAAGAUAGUUAGAGAUGUUGGUGGAUGGAAUUAGGGUGUAAGAUUUUGUAUUUGCGAGCUAUUCGAGUUCGGUUUGAGAAAACUUGAAUUUGGCUCAGUAAUUAUUGAGUCAAGCAAUCCUGUGAGUUGAAUUUGAGAAUCUUAUUACUUGAAUCGAGUAGCUCACAAGUGAAUUUCAAAAACCCUAAUACUUGAAUUGAGUAGCUUGCAAGGCUUUUCAAUCUUAAUCAAUAUUGAAAAUUUUCAGAUUAAACUCGAGCUUAAUUACAAAUAAUCAAGCUUGAAGUUAUGCAUAGGAGUGAAGCUCAUUGUAGACUUAGGCAAAACAAGCAGAGUUAAAACACUUCAAUUAACUCUAUUAAAGCUUUAAGAUUGAAAAUUUGAGUCAAGUUAAGCCUGGCCUGGCCCGGCCCGAAUAUAAUAAUUUUUUUUUAUUUUCAAAAAUAUUUUUAAAAUACUUUUUUUUAAUUUUUUUUAUUUUUAAAAUACUUUUUUAUUUUUUAAAUUUUCUUUUUGGUGUUUAUUUAAAAAAUGGGUCGGGCCGGGCUCGGGCCUAUGAUUUUUUUCCUUGGGCCGGGCUUGGACAAAAUUUUAGGCCCAUAUUUCGGGCCAAAAUUUUUUCUUGGCCCGGCCCGGCCCAUGAGCAGCUCUAGCCUAUAAGUAUUGAUUUCCAUGAACAAGGUGACAUGCUAGUUGAAUACAAUAUUCUAAUACAAAAUAGGUAGUGAUUAGUACUUGAAGAAAAUUCAAAUCUUGAUGUAAAAAUUUGCAGCUGCCUUGAAAUAUCAUUACAUCAUAUCAAAAUCAGACAGUUUUUUUAACUGAAAAAAAAUUGAGUUGAGUUAAAUAUCAUUCAUAAAUCAUAGCGUCUCUUCCAAGUUAUGGGAAGAGAUUAUGGGAAAAACUAUUAGCUGCUCUGUUUUACUAGCUUUAAUAUCUUGCUUUUACUUACUAUUUGCCACUGCUUUAGACACAACAACACCAUCAAAAUCCAUCAAAGACCCUGAAGUUCUAAUCUCUCAGAAUGGUGUUUUUCGAUUACAAUGGUUAGAUAUCUCCUGAGUAUGCAUUGCAAGGGCAAUUUUUAGAAUAAUCAGAUGCAUUCAGCUUUGGAGUUGUAUUGCUUGAGAUUGUUAGAGGAAGAAAAAGCACAAGCUUAUUGAUCUUAGCCUCUUGGGAUAUGUAAGUUUAUAAGAUAAUUUUUUUAUAUAUUGUAGCGACCUAAAAAAAUUUACGCGGGUGCUAGUCGAGGUGAUUAUUGAAAAUUUGAAAGCAGAGUUUCAAUUUAUUUAAAAAAAGGGAGUCGCCACCGAUCUUUUUUCCUACGUGUGAUCGAACACCUAAUAAAUUCUCUUUUUAGAAGAAAAUUUUAAUUUUUUUAAAGUUUUCUAAAAAAAGAGGUAAUUUUAGGUCUACGUGAAAAUCGAGAGAAAAUUAGAGUUCGGGAGUCAGUUAUGCGCGAGGAAGGUAUUAGCACCCUCGCGACGCCCAAAAUUGGUAUCUCGUUAAACGCGCGUUAUCUUAAUUUUCAAAAUAUAAGUUCAAUUUAAUAAUUAAUUGCGAUCCAAUCAAAAUACGAAAUUUAAAAAAAAACACGAAGAUUUUUGAAACAAUUAUUUUCUUUGAAAAACUUGAAAAAUUUUUAAAACACGAGAACUUUAGAGACACAAAAAUUAUUAAAACACGAAAAUUUUUGAAAACACGACAAUUUUGAAACACGCGAAUUUUUUUUUGAAAACCCGAUUUUUUUUUGAAACGCGAAAAUUUGUGAAACACGAGAUUGUUGAAAACACGCAAAUUUUUGAAAACACGAAAAUUUUUGAAACACGAAAAUUUUUGAAAACACGAGAAUUUUUUGAAAACGUGAAAAUUUUUGAAACACCGAAUUUUUUUUAAACACAAUUUUUUUGAUUUUUUAUUAAGCACGUAUCGUAUUUAACACGGACUGAUGAUAUUCACUCAACAUAGCAAUGAAAUCAACGAAUUAGUGUCAAAUCGAUUCGUUGCCUUAUUAUUAUUUUUUUGAAAACGCGAAUAUUUUUUUAAACACGAGAAUUUUUUUUUUGAAGACACGAAAAUUUCGAAGCACGAGAUUUUUUUUUUAAACAUGAAUUUUUUGAAUAUUUACAAUUUUUAAAAGGGCGUAUCGUAUUUAACAUAAACUGGUGAUAUUCACCCAACAUAGCGAUGAAAUCGACAAUUUAAUGUUAAAUCGAUUCGUUGCCUCAUUUAUUAAAAAUAUUAAAAAUAAAAUCAAAUUGAAUUUAAAUUUAAAUUAAAUUAAAUUGAAUUAAAAUUAAAUUAAAUUAAAUUAAAAAAAUAUAAAUACAAAAAAUAUAAAAAUGCAUAAAUUACUAAUAACAUUAAAAUGAAAUAGCAUAAAAAUACGAACAUUAAAUUAAAAGUGAAAUAAACAAAAUUACCGAAAAGAUCCGAAACACGAGCUUGGUCGAACAGGUUACGCAAAUUGAACCUUUUUUUCUUUUUUCCUCUUUUUCUUUUUCUUUCUUUUUUUUCUUUCAUUCUCUUUCUUUUUUUUGUUGGGCCGGCCUGCUGGGCCUGCACACUUGCUGGCUGCUGUUGGGCUGCCUGCUGGAUUGGGCCUGCUGGAUUGGGUCAAGCCUGUGCUACUAGGCCUUUUUUUCUGCUUUUUUUGUUUUUUUUGGGCUGAUUCUUGGGCUAGGGCCUGCGCUGGAAUGGCCUGCUGCUUGGUGGUGCCGGGUAAGGUCACGGGUCGGGUCAAUUAGACUCGGCUGCUUUAUUAUUAUUUUUUAUUUUUUUCUCUUUUUCUUCUUUCUCUUCUUCUUCCCCUCCCUUCUUCUUCCUUCUUCCUCUUCCGGUUCUCCUAGCCCUCUUCAACGUCGCCGCUGUCCUCUUGGCCGACGGUGACUGUCGGCAUACUUUUCGCUCUCCUCUUCCCCUUUUCUUUUUCCUUCUCUUCUUUUUCUUUUUUUUCGAAAAUUCGAAGACCCAAGGCGUUGCUUUGGUCCUCCACUUGCGCUCCGUCGCUCUCGUCUGCCUCCGGUGGUUGUGAGAAAGAAAUUAAAACUUUUUUUGAAGUUUCUUCACCGUUUUUUUCAUUUUUGCUGCUGAUUUUUUUUCUCUUGUUGUUUUUUUUCUUUCUCUUUUUCUCCUCUUUUUUUCUUUUGGGGGUUUGAAAUCCCCUUUUAAAUUUGAUGUUUUUUCUUCCUUUUUGCAGGUAGCAAGUGGGCUAGGGAGGGCCUAGGUCGGCUGCCGCCUGUUGCAGGCGCAACUUGCGUUGAUGGUUGCCAGAGGGACCAAAAUGUAAUGGCAGCAAAAUUUUUGGUGUCAAAACAUAAUUUUAAGAAAGUUUAAGGGUCAAGAUGUAAUUUCAAAAUCUUUAGGGGUUGAAAUGUAAUUUUGAAAAAAUUUAGGGGUUAAAAUAUAAUUUUAUAAAAGUUUAGGGGUCAAAAUGUAAUUUUUUUAAACACAAAAUUAUUCCAGGACAAAAUUCAGUGAUUACAGCUGCUCCUCUUUGCUCAUCGCUGUGAAACAGGGAUAGAGCAAAGACUUAAAAGCACUGAAUUUUGUUCGACCAUCCAAAAUUUUUCUUUUUAUUUGAAAAGCAGAAAUCGAGAAUAGCUUGGCGUGCGAGUCAAAGCUCAACUCACCUCGAAUUAUGAGUUGAUUUUUUGAAAAACAGAAAUUGAAAAGAAUACCUCGGCAUGCGACUCGAGGCUCAACUCACCUCUCGCAAUAUGAGUUGAUUUUGAUUUUUGAAAAAUAGAAAUUUAAAAGAAAUAUCUCGGCGUGUGCCCGAGGCUCAACUCACCUCUCGCAAUAUGAGUUGAUUUUUGAAAAAUAGAAAUUGAAAAAUACCUCAGCGUGACCCGAGGCUCAACUCACCUCUCGCAAUAUGAGUUGAUUUUUUAAAAACAGAAAUUGAAAAAUACCUAGACGUGUGCCCGAGGCUCAACUCACCUCUCGCAAUAUGAGUUGAUUUUGAUUUUUGUUUUUUGAAAAACAGAAUUUUAAAAGAAAUACCUCGGUGUGUGCCCGAGGCUCAACUCACUUCUCGCAAUAUGAGUUAAUUUUUGAAAAGCAAAAAUUGAAAAAUACCUCAGCGUGACCCGAGGCUCAACUCACCUCUCGCAAUAUGAGUUGAUUUUUUAAAAACAAAAAUUGAAAAAUACCUCGGCGUGUGCCCGAGGCUCAACUCACCUCUCGCAAUAUGAGUUGAUUUUGAUUUUUGUUUUUUGAAAAGCAUAAAUUUAAAAGAAAUACCUCGGCAUGUGCCCGAGGCUCAACUCACCUCUCGCAAUAUGAGUUGAUUUUUGAAAAACAGAAAUUGAAAAAUACCUCAGCGUGACCCGAGGCUCAACUCACCUCUCACAAUAUGAGUUGAUUCUUUUUAAAAUAGAAAUUAAAAAAUACAUCGGCGUGUGCUCGAGGCUCAACUCACCUCUCGCAAUAUGAGUUGAUUUUUGAAAAACAUAAAUGUACAAGAAAUACCUCGGCAUGUGACCUGAGGCUCAACUCACCUCUCACAAUAUGAGUUGAUUUUUUUUUUUGAAAAAACAGAAAUUGAAAAAAUAAUUUUUGAAAGAAACAGGGUUUCAAAAAACAUCGAGUAAAACUAAAAGCCUCCUUUUCAUUGAUUCAGUGCAGACUUCUCCCAAAAUUCCCUGCUCUGUUGGGAUGCAUGUAUAUGUCAUGUAUGAUGUUAUCAUGAUAUGCACGUGUUUGUCCUAAAUGCUUUUAUGCCUACAUGAUCAUGCCAUGCACUUUGAACUAUUUGUCACAUGCCCCUUCUUCGUAAGGGACUGCAUUCAUCGCCUCAAUCAUCAAUUUUUCUCUCCGAUUUUGUACUCAUCUUUGAAUUUUUCGGGUGACCCACAUUUUCAUAUUUCCCCUUCUUGCCUCAUUGUUGAACUUGGUUCUUGUUUUGGGGCCCUUGUACAUGUCAAAUUCUCAUCUAGGUAAUGCCCAACAUUCCUUUCGUUUAGAGUAUGUCAUCUUACCAUUUAUCAGUUAAAUGAAUCAAACACGAGAUGCAUGAAAAAUGGCAAAGUAGGCAUGAAAGAAAUACCUCAUAUUCAAAUUAUUUCAAAACCAACAAAGAAAAUUGACAAGGAAAAGCUCAAUAAAGAAAGCAUCACAAAGAAAGGAAACUGAAUCUAAUAGCUACAAAAUGCUUUAGAUAUCCAACGCAUGAACUUCUCCACGUUUCUUCGUCCUGGAUCUUUUUCGAGCACAGCUUCUCGUGUAAAAGAUUUCAAGCUUCUGAGAAUAAUUCAAAUAUUACAACCUUUCCAGUUGACUCCCUGUUUAAGUCGUCUUGCUCCUUAAGUCUGAAUCUGCUCCAUUAGGACGCCCUUUCGGGUUUUCAUCCUAAUCAUUUGUUUAUCAAGACGCUCUUUUCAGGUUUUCAUCUUUAUUUUUCUUUUUCUUUUCUUUUUUUUCUUUUUUUUUGUUUUUUUUGUUUUUUUGUUUUUUUAGGCAUAAUAUUUCUUCACAGCAUCUAAGUUCACUGGAUUAGGUAAUUCUUUCCCAUCCAUCUCAGUGAGAAUCAGAGCCCCUCCAGAGAAUGCCUUUUUUACAACGUAUGGCCCCUCCCAAUUUGGCGACCAUUUUCCUUGAAAGUCUCUUUGUAUCGGGAGGAUUUUUUUAGUACCAGUUCCCUUUCGCGGAAUUCUCUUGGCCGCACCUUUUUAUCAUGGGCCGUGAUCAUUCUUUUCUAAUAUAUCUGUCCAUGACAAAUUGCCUUCAAGUGUUUCCCUUCAAUAAGGUUUAGUUGAUCAUAUCAAGCUCAAACCCACUCUGAUUCUUCUAACUUUGUCUCAAUCAAGACGCGCAGGGAUGGGAUCUCUAUUUCGAUAGGCAGAACGCCUCCAUCCUGUAGACCAGAGAAAAAGGAGUUGCCCCCGUAGACGUCCGUACAGAGGUGCGAUAUGGGUACAAAGCAAACGGUAGCUUCUCGUACCAAUCUUUAUAUGUCUCAAUCAUCUUCCCGAUAAUCCUCUUAAUGUUUUUGUUGGCCGCUUCGACAGCUCCGUUCAUUUUUGGGUGAUAGGGUGAGGAAUUAUGAUGCUUUAUCUGGAAUUGCUCACACACUUCUUUCAUUAUCUUGUUGUUUAAAUUCAAAGCAUUAUCUGAAAUGAUUCUCUAUGGCAAACCAUAUCGACAUAUGAUCUCCUUUUUUAGGAACCUGCAGACUGCGAUCUUCAUCACAUUAGCAAACGAACUGACUUCUACCCAUUUUGUAAAGUAAUCUAUAACCACAAAGAUGAACCGGUGUCCAUUAGAAGCCUUCGGGGAAAUUAGCUCUAUGACAUCCAUGCCCCACAUAGAAAAAGGCCACUGAAAAGUCAUGACAUGAAGGGGCGAGGGAGCUGCAUGAAUUUUAUCACCGUAAAUUUGACACUUAUGACACUUUUGUGCGUAUCCAAUGCAAUCCCUUUCCAUUGUCAGCCAAAAAUAACCAAGUCUCAUAAUCUGCCUAGCCGUAGUAGACCCAUUGGCAUGCGUUUCACAAAUUCCUUCGUGGACAUCUUUAAGUAUUCUUCUGGCUUCAACAUUGUCCACGCAUCUCAGGAGCAUUUAAUCCUUUCCUCUUUUGUAUAGGAUAUCCCCAUCAAGAACAAAAUCAGCCGCCAUUCUUCUGAUUGUUCUUUUGCCAUUCUCGUUUGCUUGCUCGAGAUACCUUUGAUUCUUAACGUACUCUAAGAUGUCAUGAAACCACGAUCGUCCAUCUGACUCAUUCUCAAUGCUAAAAUAGUGUGCGGGGACAUCAUAUAUGCUCAUUUGGAAAGGCAUUAUUUCAGUUUCUCUAUUUGCUUUGAACAUUGAAGCCAAUGUGGCCAAGGCGUCAGCCAAUUGGUUUUCCUCUCGUGGGAAGUAUUGAAAAGUCACUUCUUUGAAUUCUUUGACCAAUUCCUCCACGAAAUCGCGAUACUUGACUAAUUUUGAAUCUCUCACUUCCCAAUCUCCGUGAAUUUGAUAAAUCACUAACGUUGAGUCUCCAUACACCUCUAAGAUUUCUAUUUUCCGUUCAAUAGCUGCAUGAAGUCCCAUGAUGCAAGCUUCAUAUUCUGUUAUGUUAUUAGUACAGAAGAAAUUCAAUCUGGCAGUGAGCAGGUAAUGGUUUCCUUCCGGUGACACUAAGACUGCUCCUAUCCCGUGCCCCAACGCGUUCGAUGCACCAUCAAAACUCAUCUUCCAUGAUUGAUCUUUUAAUGAGUCACCUUCGAAAAUACACAUCAAGUCUUCAUCCAGGAAGUCAAAUCUCAACGGCUCAUAUUCCUCCAUUGCUCGACUUACCAAGAAGUCAGCUAUUGCGCUUCCCUUUUUCAACUUUUGGCUCACAUACACAAUGUCAUUCUCCCUGAGAGUGCGGGUGAUUCCAUCAAAUACUUUAAUAGAUCUAGCUUUGAAAUUAACCACGUUGUAUGAUACAACAUGUAUUGUCUGAGCUUUCAAACUACCCAGACCAAUGUACAGUAGAAUUUUUCAAUUGACGGGUACUUUGCCUCAUAUUCUGUGAACUUUUUGCUGAGGUAGUAAAUCACUUUUUCUUUUUUCCCUGACUCAUCACACUGCGCCAGUACGCAACCCAUUGAGUUUUCAAACAUGGUUAGGUACAAUAUUAAGGGUUUUCCAGGGGUCGGCGGCACUAGCACCGGAGGAUUAGACAGAUAUUGUUUUAUCUUGUCGAAGGCUACUUGGCACUCCUCAUUCCACUCUCCGGAAUUAUGUUUUCGAAGGAGUUAAAAAAUUGGAUCACAUUGGUUGGUAAGUUGAGAAAUGAAUCUAGCAAUGUAAUUCAACCUUCUUAAAAAUCCUCUGACUUCUUUUUGUGUACGCGGAGGUGGCAGUUCUUGUUUGGCCUUUAUAUUGUCUAGAUCAACCUCAAUACCUCUCUCGCUGAUAAUGAAACCUAGAAAUUUUCCCGAGGUUGCCCCGAAUGUACACUUUUCUGGGUUAAGCUUCAACUGAAACUUUUUUAAUCUUUCGAACAGCUUCCUGAGGUUCCCGACAUGCUCCUCUUCUCUUCAGGACUUGGGAAUCAUAUCAUCGACAUAAACUUCUAUUUCUUUGUGCAUCAUGUCAUGGAACAACAUCACCAUGGCUCUCUGAUAUGUUUCCCCAGCAUUCUUCAAUCCAAAUGGCAUCACUUUGUAGCAGAACGUUCCUCACAUUGUCUCGAAUGUGGUUUUUUCCAUGUCUUCGAGAGCCAUCUUUAUCUGAUUAUAACCUGAGAAACCAUCCAUGAACAAAAAUAAAGAAUGUUUUACCGUGUUAUCCACUAACGUAUCGAUGUGUGGCAAAGGAAAAUUAUCUUUAGGGCUUGCUCAGUUCAAAUCACGAUAAUCUACGCACAUUAAUACCUUGCCAUCUUUCUUCGGUAUCGGGACUAUGUUAGCUACCCAUUCUGGAUACUUGGAGACUUGUAGGAAGCCAGCAUCAAAUUGUUUAUUGACUUCUUCUUUUAUCUUCAACAACAUUUCGGGUCUCAUCCUUCUUAGCUUCUGUUGAACAGGUUUGCAUUCUGGUUUCAGUGGGAGCUUAUGGACCACAAUAUCUGUGCUCAACUCUGGCAUAUCCUGAUAAGACCAGGCAAACACAUCCUUGUACUCAUAGAGCAAGGCAAUUAAAUCUCGCCUGGUGUUUUCUGAAAUGGAAGUCCCAUCUUCACUUCUUGUUUCUUUUCUUCAUUCCCCAAGUUCACUACCUCAACAGAUUCUUGAUGGGGUAGAAUCUGUUUCUCUUCUUGUUCAACCAUUCUCAAUAAGUCAGGAGGCGGGACACAAUUUUUAGCAUCUUUCUCAGCUUCAAAUUCUCCUAAACAAAUAGCCUUCUCGAAAUUGAUUUUAGGACUUGUAACGGGAUUGUUCAUACCAUAGAUAUCUGAGCACCGAAAGGUGAAUGGGAAAGAAAACUAUAGAGGAGCAUCAAAGUAUUGGAAUCAACACACACAAUGUUAUGGAAUGAUAUAAUAUAUGUGUAGGAAAAAGCUAUGAGAAGCGAGAAUAAUUAUGACACUAAUAGAAACAAAAAGACCAUGACAAAAUGCAUCUUCAUUAAUGUUUAUUGAAAUGAUAAAGAGCAAACAUAAACUCUUACAAAAGGAAUCCCAUCACUUAGGAACACACAAAAUAAUGGAGAAGUAACAUUGGGUAUUACCCGGGAGAGAACUUAGAAACUACAAGAAGGUCCACAACAGUCCAAUUGUUCAAAAUAUAUUCAGGAGGACAGGGGUGUAUCAUUGAAACAUCAUUAAUUGUACCACUCUCGUUGAGCUCAACAUCCAUAGCUCUAGCUCUUAGAUGUGUUCUAUAAGAAUGACGUGAUUCCAGAAUUGUAGUGUCACAACUUGGAUUUUGCGGUUCUAGCCUUAAUGAAUGUUUAGGGUGAUAUGUAUAUGCAAUGCAUGAAUGAAUGAAUGAAUGAAUGAAUGGAUGAAUGACAAGUGAAUGUUAGUCAUGAAUAAAUAUACAAGAAUUUGGUGUUGAUUUCAAGAUAGCCCCAUAUUUUGGCGUUUCAUUUAUCAAAAGAGUCCAUUACAAAAUAUUUUGCCAAUGAAGAUGCCCCUAGUGCCUGAGUCUCAUUGUUUCCAGAUCCUAGUCAAAUCUUCGGGGUUAUUCUGACGAGCAUUCAAAGUCGCCUUCCCGAAAAGAUCAAAGAUAUAUCUUUCCUUUAAACUAUCCAUUUUUCUUUCUGGGUCCUCGAAGACCAAUCUUGGACUAUGUCAUUUUUCACGGUUACUUGUGUAAUUAACUCUUCCAUCAAAAACCCGUUUUUGGCAACCAAUCUUUAACCAACACCUUCCCAAUAAAAUGCCUAUGAUGCAUGAUGAGAAAUAAAAUGAAGACAAAUAAACUUAGUUAGUAAUCACGACAAAGAAAAACAAAGAAAAACUAUGGAAAAUCUAACAAACUGGCCUACUUUUUUUAUUUUUUGUUUUUACCCCAUCAUGCUUUACAAAAUAAACUUACCCCACAUACUCAUCAAUCUACCCGAUCCAAUUUAUUAAAUAGACCCGAUUCUUUUGCAAAUAACUAUAAAUGUAAAAGAAAUACAAGGUAAGAAACGUUUCUCCCAUGUACUUAUUCGGUAGCUAUCCAACGGACAGAGGUUCGACAUAGCUCUAAUUGGGUGGCUCGUACAGUUCACUAUAUGUGGUUUCAGUUCUAAAAAGGUACUCGAAUUGUCCAUACUGUUACCUACUAAGGUUAGUAUGGAGCCUCGGUUAUCACCCGUUAUGGGCUUGCGAGCUCAAUUCAAGGGACUACAUUUACUUAUGCCUAUGCGGAGGGACAAGUUAACUCACGAAAGCAUAAGUCAUAUGUAACCCGGAAGUAAUUUUUUAGCCUGUGCGGAGGGAUGAGUUAACUCACGAAGGCAUAGUGUUUACUUCCACUUAAACGGACGGAGCCCGGGUAGAGAGCUCAUGUUAUGCAAGAAUGCAAGUGCACAGUGUGUGGGGAGAAACUCACAAACCUUUUUUAUUUUUUAAUUUUACUAAAAAAAACUAAAAAAAUAUUUACGGGCAUCGGAAAAGUAUAAUAUCGGGCCUUCGUCUUAGUAAAUUGAGUUUGAAAAUAAUUAUUAGAAAUAUUUACGAGGCUAGUUGUGUGUUUAAUUAGAUUUUUAUUUAGUGAAUUUAGCUUAAUUAGGAGUAAUUAGCAAAAAGGAUUAAAUUCCAAUAGAAGUGAAAGUUUAGUUAUAGAUUAAAAGAAAGUAAAAAGGGGUAAAAUGGCAAUUAAGCCAUUUAUAUGAAAUGAGGUGGCAUACAAGCAUUAAAAUCUAAGAUUUUAUUUGAGUUAUACAUAAAUAUUAUAUAUAUUAUAAUUAUAAUUAUUAACCAUUGUUAAGUUUUUAUAUUAUUAUUAUUAAAUAAAGUAAAUAGUAGACAAAUGGAUGGUGAUAAAAUAAUACAUGUGAAAUUAAAAUAUGUAUAUUGUUGACACCAUUUUUUUUGUGAAAACGGGGUCGACUUGGAUUUUGAAAAUAAAACGAAAAUGGGAGUCGCCACCAAUUCUUUUUUUUAUGAGGUGUGAUCGGGUCACCUCGAAAAGUGGUUGUUUUUAAUAAACAAUUUAAUUUUUAUUAAAACAACGAUUUUGGCCUACGAAAUUCAGAAAACGGGUUCGGGAGUCGACUACGCACGAGGAAGGAUUAGCACCCUCGAUGCGCCCAAAAUUGGUACCUUGUUGAUUAAUUAAUGUCUUAGUGUUGAAAAUUGAAAACUUUGAAGAGUUUUAAAAAUACGAUCCUUAAAAGAAACUCUGAUAACGUGAAUUGAAAUAUAAGAUUCUCUUGUUCCGAAGGGAUAUCACAUCCAGCACGUUAGGACACGACACUUUAAACUGUCGAAACCAAGGUCACCUUAUAGUUUAAGGAAACCAUACUUUGAAGUUUGAAGAGGGUAUUUAGCUAUUUAGUCGAACGAGAAAUCAAAACCCAGCACGUUAGGGCAUGUUUUCUCGAAUUUCCAAACGCAAAAUAUUGCCUCACUUUGAAAUUUUAAAAGGAUAUUUGGCUAUUUGGUCAAACAAGGAGUCGAAACCCAACACGUUAGGGCACGUUUCCUCGAUUUUCCAAAUGCAAAAUAUUGCCUUAUUUUAAAAGUUUAAAAAGGAUAUUUGGCUAUUUGGUCGAACGAGAAAUCGAAACCCAGCACGUUAGGGCACGUUUCCUCGAUUUUCCAAACGCGAAAUAUUGCCUUAUUUAAAAAAAACCUUCCUUUCGAUGUUUGGUGUUAACGCAUGACAAAACAAUAACGAAUACGACAAGGUAAGCAUAGUAAUGUGAGUAACAACAAUACAAUAGGCAAAAUAAAAUGACGAGGCGAUUACAUAAACAAAGCAAACGAAUAAACAAAUAGAACUGACAUUUUAGAAAAGUAAAAGUGUACAUGAAUAAAUAAAUAAACACCAAAAUAACAAUGAUGACAAUAAAUACAAUUAUGUAAAAUGUGUAUGCAUGUAUAAUUUUAAGUUAUGAAAAUAAGAAAUGAUUUAUAUAUAAAUCGUAAAGUAUAAAAAUGUAUAUAAAUAUAAAUAUAUAUAUUAAAUAAAAAUAUGUAAGUAUUAUAAAAUAAAAAUGUAAGUAUGUUCAUAUGUACAUUAUAAAAUAUAUAUAGGUAUACUUAUUUUUUAGAUUAUAAAGUAUACACAAAAAAGGAAUAUAUGUAUAUACAUAUGUAGGAGUUACAAAAUAUAAAACACAUGUGUACAUAUAAAAUAUAUAACAUAAAAUAUGUGCGUAUGUAUAUUAUAAAAAUGUGCAUAUAUAUGUAUAUAUGAAAAUAAAAGUAAGCAUAUAGAUUAUAGCAUAUAUAAAAAUCUAAGUAUGUAUAUAUAUAUUGAUUGUAAAAGUGUACGUAUUAAGAAUGCAUGCAUGUACAUGUAUAUGAAAAAAUUCUAAAAUUUAAAAAAAAUAUAUACAUAUAAACAAGUAAAUAUCAUUAAAUAAAAUAUUAAAUAAAACUGGCUUUUACAUAGGUAUAUUUAUAUAUAAAAAUAAAUAAAUAAAAUUAAAAAAACUUGAAGUUUAAAAGGUCGAGGAUCGAAUUGGAAUCAGGCUGAUAAUUUGGGGCCAAAUUCGCAAAUAAAAGGUUCAGGGGCUGAAACGAAGCACGCGCGGAGUGCAAAGGACUGAUCGGGAAAUAUGCCCAAGUCCUGAAGCACAGCAUUUAUGCGCGGACUAAAUUGGAACAUGCAACAAAAUUGCAGGGCCAAAUUGAAAACAAUAAAGAAACCAGUAGAACGAUUAAAUUAAAACAAAAAAACGUGGAGGGAUCAAGAGCGCAAAUUUCCCAGUCAACAGAAAUGCGCGGAUCCCUUGGAACGGGUCGGGUCAAACACGCGGGCAAGGGGGCCAAACGGCACCGUUUUAUAUCUGCUAUAAAUAGCAAAAAAAGAAAAAAAGAAAAAAAAAAACAUUUCCAGCUUUAUUUUUUAGAAAAACAGAGAGCAGUUUGGUUCUCUCUUAGCCUUCAACUCCGGUCAACAGGGCCACCGCCUGCGCCGCCGUGACUCUGCCGUAGGCGAUGGUCGGAGCGACGCAAAGAUCGGGUCCUUCACCGAUUUAAAGGCCAUUUGAAGGCCGAAGCUUCAGGGCUCGAAAGCCGAAAGAAGAGAAACCCCAUGGCCUCCCUUCGGUCCCGAUUUCACCGACCAAGACGGUUUCGGCGACGGACCUUGCGUGCAGCCCUAGGUAAGUUUCUUCCCUUCCCUUUUUUUGAUUGAUUUUUUAUUAUAGUUAUUUAAAACAAAUUUGAAAAAAAAGAGAAAAAAAAACGAAAACAAAACAAGAUAAAACAGAUGAAUAAGAGAAAACGAAGAAGAAAUAGCAAGGAUUCAACCUUUUAAAAUUUCUAUUCAGCUUUUUGAUUUCUGAUAUGGGUGAAAAAAAAUACAAGGAUUCGAUCAAGGCUUUUAUAGCCGAUUUCCCUAACUCAUUUUUCCCUAUUUUUGUUUCCAUUAGCUAUAUUGCCUGCAUGCUUCUGUGGUUGCAUUCAAUUUUCUCUGCAGGUGUCAGACGAGGCCAACGGCGGAGGCAGAGGCAUGUGCGAGAAGAUGAAGCGGCACGCGUGGGCAGAGGCGGCCAACGGCGCCCUAGGGUUUCUCUUCUUCUGUUGAAAACAUUUGUUUGUGGGCUAGGGCUGUAUUGGGCUGGCAUCAUUGGGCUUUGGGUUUAUUUUUUGUAAAAUGGACUGUGACUGUUUUAUUAAUUUGGUUUGUUUUGGGUUCCAUUGGGCCCCGGGUAAAAUUUGGGCUCUACAUAUAUAUUUGUAGUUUGUAAAAUUAAUUUGCUUAUUAAUUAGUAUAAGAUAUUUAUUAUUUAUUAUUAGUUAUUAGUUAUUAUUAAAUUAAAAGAUAUUUAAUAAUUAAAUAAUUAGUAUAAGAUUUUUGGGUAAUAAUAAAUUAUGAUUUUGUCAAGUGUGUGGUAAAAAUAAAAUGCAAGUGUAUUACAUUUAUUUAUUUACUUAAAAUUUAAGUAAAAGAUAUUUAUUAAUUAAAUUAUUAUAUUAAAAUAUUUUUUUGAUGAAGUAGUUAGAUUAAGACAAAUGUAAGGUUAUGAUAUGGUACAAAUAUAUUAAUUAUAUUUGUUAUUAAAAUAGAUAUUUUAUAAAUAAUAAUUAAUUAAACAUAAAAGAAAUAAAAUAAAGGAAAUAAAGUAAAGUAAGUUAAAAUAAAAAGGAAAAGAACAAAAGAAUAACAUAGUAGAAACAGAGACCAUUCGAAACAGGGGAGAAAGAAAAGGGAAAGAAAAAUAAAAGGGAAAACUAGGGAUUUGAAGCUUGAAGUUUAAUUGGUAAGUUAAAUCAAGUCCUUUUCUCAUAAAUUUGAUGUUUUUGGAAUCCUAGAGUGAAAUACUCUUGGAUUUAAGUUGAAAAUUUGAAAGUUAAUAGAUUUUUUAGUAGGGUUUAUGUUGAAUAAAUUGUUGAAUUAGGGAUUUAAUUGAAUGAAUUUUAAGUUAGAAUUGAUAAAGGGAUUAAAUUGUAAAAGAAACUAUAAAUUUUAUGUUUUAGGGACUAAAUUGAGGGAAAUUCGAAAUUAGAAAAAUAUGCUGAAAUUUUGAUAGUUAAAUUUGAGUUUGGAUGAAAUAUGAAUAGAAAUAGAGUGUGAAUUGAAUUAGGAAAGUAAGUGAAUUUAGUUAGGAUUAAAUUGAGAAUAAGGAAGAAAUUGAAUAGAAAUUCAAUUAUUUAUUAUGAUUAGUGCUGUAAUUAAUAGCAUAAAUUAUUAUUAUUUUCGUAGCUAACAAAGAACCAGAAGCAUCGGCACGGAAGGGAAAAGAGAAGAUUAUCGAGGAGUAAACUCGAGAAAAUCACGGUUUGUAUUACUAUAAUUCAAGUUAUUUAUUAUUAAAUGUUAAAUUUUAAUUUAUGUGUUUAGUAAAUGAAAUGUGAGGUAAGUAUUAUUAUUAUUAUUAUUAUUAUUAUGAGUGUGAAUUAAAUUGAAUAGUUGAUAUGAAUUAAUAAUUGAAUUGUUUGUUCAUUGAAAUUGGGAAAUGAAUUUGAAUCGAAUUGUGAAUGAUAUUAAAUUGUAUGGAAAUGUAUUGAGUUGUGAAAAUGUGUGAAUUUGUGGAUUAAUUAUUGAUUGAAAGAUGGAGAAAUGAUUGAAUUGAAAAUGUGAGAAAUUGUGAUUGAAUAGAGGUUAUUUGUGAUUUAAAUACCCUAUUAACUAGUCGGGCUGAGUCGGAUAUAGUUGGCAUGCCAUAGGAAUAGAAGAGUUCAGGGAUACUUCGACCUCGAGUCGAUGAGACACUGGGUGUCACUAUAUUUCUUCGGAUAGAUUCGAUGAGGUACUGGUAUAUUUCUUCGGAUAGAUUCGAUGAGGUACUGGGUACCAACUUACUUCGGCUUGGCCGAUGAGACACUGGGUGUCAACUAUUGCUUCGAACUAUCCGAUGAGGCACUAGGUGCCAUUCUGGUGUGUUUGGUUGGAUCCGUGUAUCCGCCAAAGUCUGAGUUUUGUUAAUAGGGUAAAUUAUGAAAUGAUAAACCGAACGAGUUAAUCAAAUGAGCUAUUGAAAUGAAAUGAAAAAGUUGAAUUGUGAAUUGAAAUGUGAGAUUGAGAAAUAAACCAAAGUUCAUGAUGUGCCCAAAAUCAAAUUGUGGAUAUUUGAUAUCAAUUGAUGAAUUGCUAUUGUUGAAAUAUGGAAUUUAAAUCUAAAUUUGUAUAUACGAUUUAUGAAUUAUAUGUUUAUUAUUGUUAUAAUUUGAAUUAUGGUAAUACCACUGAGUAUAAAUUACUCAGCGUACGGUUGUUUCCGUGCGCAGGUCAAUAGAAGUCAAAGGUCCCGGUUCAGCAUCCAGAUUAAUCCCGGCUUCAGCAAAACUUGGUGAUGUAUUUUUCAUUUGGUAAAGGUGGCAUGUACAUAGGUUGUGUAUAAAGGUUAUUAUGUUUUAAUAUAAAUGGUUAAAAAAUGUUAGUAUUAAAGUUUAUGAAUUUUAAUGAAAGAAGUAUAUCUAUUUUUAUCUAAUUAGUACAUUGUUAAAUUUUAAAUUGAUAUUAUAUAGAUUGAGUUUGAUUAGAAGUAUUUAGAAUAGAAAAUGAGAAUGUGACAUGAAUUGGUUGAUUUGAUUUUAUUUGAAAAUGAAAUGGUUUUAAAUUGCAGGGGGUUUUAGGUAAAAAUAAGCAGAAAUGCUGUCGAAAUUUUUUGUAAAAAAAAUUUAUAAAAAAAAAGUCAAUUGGUAAACAAACAUAAGAAUUUAUGAUUUAUUUUAAUAUGUUGGUCAUUUAUGAUUUGUUUAUCUGUAAAUUGUUUAAUAUGUUCGGUAAUACCCCGUAACCCUGUUUCAGUGACAGUUUGAGGUUAGGGGGUGUUACACAUUAGACUCGACUCUAAAAAAAAGUCCCCAGCGGAGUCGCCAGCUGUAGCGACCUAAAAAAAAUUACGCGGGUGCUAGUCGAGGUGAUUAUUGAAAAUUUGAAAGCAGAAUUUUAAUUUAUUUAAAAAAAGGGAGUCACCACCGAUCUUUUUUCCUAGGUGUGAUCGGACACAUAAUAAAUUCUCAUUUUAGAAGAAAAAAUUAUUUUUUAAAAUUUUUUCUAAAAAAGAGGUAAUUUUAGGUCUACGUGAAAAUCUAGAGAAAAUUAGAGUUCGGGAGUAGGUUACGCGCGAGGAAGGUAUUUGCACCCUCGCGACGCCCAAAAUUGAUAUCUUGUUAAACGCGCGUUGUCUUAAUUUUCAAAAUAUAAGUUCAAUUUAAUAGUUAAUUGUGAUCCAAUCAAAAUACGAAUUUUUUAAAAAAACACGAAGAUUUUUGAAACAAUUAUUUUCUUUGAAAAACACGAAAAUUUUUGAAAACACGACAAUUUUGAAACACGCAAAAUUUUUUUGAAAACCCGAUUUUUUUUUGAAACGCGAAAAUUUGUGAAACACGAGAAUUGUUGAAAACACACAAAUUUUUGAAAACACGAAAAUUUUUGAAACACGAAAGUUUUUAGGAAACAUGAAAAAAAAAAUUUGAUCAUCGAAAUUUUUUAAAACACGAAAAUUUUUGAAACACGGAAAUUUUUGAAAACACGGAAAUUUUUUGAAAACGUGAAAAUUUUUGAAACACCAAAUUUUUUUUAAACACAAAUUUUUCGAUUUUUUAUUAAGCACGUAUCGUAUUUAACACGGACCGAUAAUAUUCACUCAACAUACCAAUGAAAUCAACGAAUUAGUGUCAAAUCGAUUUGUUGCCUUAUUAUUAUUUUUUUGAAAACGCGAAUAUUUUUUGAAACACGAGAAUUUUUUUUUGAAGACACGAAAAUUUUGAAGCACGAGAUUUUUUUUUUGAAAACAUGAAUUUUUUGAAUAUUUACAAUUUUUAAAAGGGGGUAUCGUAUUUAAUAUAAAUCAGUGAUAUUCACCCAACAUAGCGAUGAAAUCGACGAUUUAAUGUUAAAUCGAUUUGUUGCCUCAUUUAUUAAAAAUAUUAAAAAUAAAAUUAAUUUGAAUUAAAAUUAAAUUAAAUUAAAUUAAAAAUAUAAAUGCAUAAAUUACUAAUAACAUUAAAAUGAAAUAGCAUAAAAAUACGAACAUUAAAUUAAAAGUGAAAUAAACAAAAUUACCGAAAAGAUCCGAAACACGAGCUUGGUCGAACGGGUUACGCAAAUUGAACAUUUUUUUCUUUUUUCCUUUUUUUCCUUUUCUUUCUUUUUUUUUUCUUUCUCUCUCUUUCUUUUUUUUUGUUCGGUCGGCCUGCUGGGCCUACACACCUACUGGCUGCUGUUGGGCUGCCUGCUGGAUUGGGCCUGUUGUUGGGCCUGUUGGAUUGGGUCAUGCCUGUGCUACUAGGUCUUUUUUUUCUACUUUUUUUGUUUUUUUUGGGCUGCUUCCUAGGCCUGGGCCUGCGCUUGAAUGGCCUGCUGCUUGGUAGUGCCAGGUUGGGUCACGGGUCGGACGAGUCGGAUCAAUUAGACCCGGCUGCUUUAUUAUUUUUUUGAUUUUUUUUCUCUUUUUCUCUUUUCUCUUUUUCUUCUUUCUCUUCUUCUUCCCCUCCCUUCUUCUUCCUUCUUCCUUCUUCUUCUUCCAGUUCUCCUAGCCCUCUUCAACUCCGCCGCUGUCCUCUUGGCCGACGGUGACUGCCGGCAUACUUCUCGCUCUCCUCUUCCCCUUUUCUUUUUCCUUCUCUUAUUUUUCUUUUUUUUUCGAAAAUCCGAAGACCCAAGGCGUUGCUCCGGUCCUCCACUCGCGCUCCGUCGCUCUCGUCCGCCUCCGGUGGUUGUGAGAAAGAAAUGAAAACUUUUUUUGAAGUUUCUUCACCGUUUUUUCUUCAUUUUUGCUGCUGAUUUUUUUUGUCUUGUUGUUUUUUUUUCUUUCUCUUUUUCUCUCUUUCUUUCUUUUGAGGGUUUGAAAUCCCCUUUUAAAUUUGAUGUUUUUUCUUCCUUUUUGCAGGUAGCAAGUGGGCUAGGGAGGGCCUAGGUCGGCCGUAGCCUGUUGCAGGCGCAACUUGCGUUGAUGGCUGUCAGAGGGACCAAAAUGUAAUGGCAGCAAAACUUUUGGGGUUGAAACGUAAUUUUGAGAAAGUUUAGGGGUUAAAAUGUAAUUUCAAAAUGUUUAGGGGUUGAAAUGUAAUUUUGAAAAAAAUUAGGGAUCAAAAUGUAAUUUUAAAAAAUUUAGGGGUCAAAAUAUAAUUUUUUUAAACACAAAAUUAUUCCAGGACAAAAUUCAGUGAUUACAUAUAUAAUUUCUACUACUAUUCGUAAUUCCUCUGAACUUUUAAUUUAGAGAAUAAUGUACAUUUAAGUGCACUCAAACCCACGUUUUUGUGUAAGUUGUAACAACAAUUAUGCCAAUUGAGAGAACAAAAACCCAGGGUGUAAGAAGCUAUAUUUGCAAGAUGGGUUUGGUUCAAGAAAACUUGAUUUCAGCUCAGUAAUAGUAGAGUCCAACAAUCAUGUGAGCUAAAUUUAAGAAUAUUAAUACUUGAAUUAUUUUUCUUGCAAGCUGAAUUUGAGAAAAUUAAUACUUGAAUUGAGUAGCUUGCAGUUUAACUCGAGCUUGAAUACAAAUAAUUAAGCUUGAAGUUGAGCCUAAUCAAGAGAAUUUCUGUAGCUUGUUAUUUAUAUCGAAUUGAGCCAAUUGAACUUUUUAGAAGCUUUAAGUUCAAAAUUUUGGGUCAAGUUAGGUUGGAUAAUUUAAGCAAAGUUGUUUUUUGUUUACAAGCGGGGAGACAAUGGAACGAAGGCAACAUUUGGAUCUUAGUAGACAAGAUUAUUUCAAAGUCAAAAUUAAAUUAAAGAAUGAGAAAGAAAUAUGGAAAUGCAUACAUGUUGGAUUGCUAUGUGUCCAGGAAUAUGCUAAAGAUAAGCCACUAUGUCUACGAUUGUUUCAAUGCUUAAUAAUGAGAUUUCAAAUCUUCACCCUUCAAAACAACCUGCUUUUACUCAAGCACCACUAAUUAGCCAUGUUGUUGAGAAUAAGGUUUCAGUUAAUGAUGUAGCUCUUACAGACUUUGAUUUGAUGGUAGAUAAAGAUGCAAAUUAUUUAUUUUUAUUAGUUUUUAGAAAUAAAUUUUAAGUAUUGAAAUUUAUCUAUCUAUUAUUUUUUCGUGCGAUGCACAAGUUAAUCUUUUGUAUUUAUUAAUAUAUAUAUAUUUAAAUUAUUGUAUAAAAUUUUAAACACUUGAUAAGAGCGAAAAAUGUAUUAUUAAAAAGGAGAAAAAUAAUUGUCAAUGUAAACCAAAAGUCCUCAAAAUAAACGGUUCAAAAAACACAAAACAAACCCUCCCCAUGGGAGAAACUUUGACCGACGGUUGCUCACAUCUCACAAGCUAGAUACUUCGAUAAUCAAGCCAGCGAUCAACAGAACCAAACAGUGGGGAACAGAUUAUAAAAAACCCCACAAAAGCCAUAUAUUCGAGCAGGACUUAUGGCGGAUCCAGUAGUCGAUGAUUCUCUGCAGCCGUAGCAGCAACAACAGCCUGGGAUUCCUCAACCCAAAAUCGAUCUUUAUCGCGCGACAACCCAUCUCUAGCCAUUGCAUGCGCUGUUCUAUUCUCUGAUCAUUCGAUAAAUUGGAAACAACGAAACCCUAAUAAUUUGAGGAGCACCCUCGAUAAUCCUCGAUAAAUUGUAUCCAUGAUAAAACCCUAAACCCUAAACCCUAAACCAAAUAAUCCGAAGAGAUCCCUUGAUAAAUUGCAUGCGCUAUGGAUAGUAAAGAUAUUGAAACGUUCCCCACCCAAACCAAAUAAUCCGAGGAGCACCCUCGGUAAUCCUCGCACUGACCACCUUCUCGUUAAGAUCCGCCAGACAUAAUAAUGCUGAGAGACCUGAUAAGCCAUAAAAGUAACAUAUUUUUAAUCCUACUCUUGAUGCGUUUUUGGAUGAUUUAUUAUGUAAAUUAGUGAAUUUGAUACUCCUAAUCCUUUAAAUUCAUGUUUCUAUACUUAGGUGAGCAUAGGGGAGUGAAAGGAGCAAAAAAAGCCAAAAUCAGAUAAAAAGAGCUGUUUUCAAGAUCCACACGGCCUGGACAUUUUCACACGGGUUAGGCAUAUGCUCGUGUGAGACACACGGGUUGGCCACACGCCUAUGUGCCAGCCUGUGUUGAUUUCACACCCUGCUUCUCUUUUACGCGAAAAAGCUUAAUUUUUAGACUUUUUAAGCAUUUUAAAGUCUGUAAGUACCAAUUAGAAGAAGAUAUAAUGGGGCAAUCAGAGAAGAUCGAAGAAAACACUCGAAAAAUGCCAUUGGAAUCAACUCGAAAGCGGAUCUCCUUCAAGAUCAAAGAACUCCAUUUAAUUUCUUUUGAAGUUUUAUUGAGUUUCUUUUUGUCUUGUGGAUAUCCUAACUUCGAGAUGUUCCUAUUUAGGAUUAUGAACUAAAUUCCCUAAAUACCAAGGGAGGAUGAAACCUAUGAUAAAUCUUAUUAUUUAAUUUAUGUUUUUACGUGAUAAAUAACUGAUUCCUGUUCUCAAUUAUUUAUAUUUAUUUUGUGUUUUAAUAUUUUGGGGGUAUUAAUUCAUGUUUAAUGUGCUUAUUUCAGUGGAGCAAAAGUCCCUGUUUAAGAGUAGAUCUAGCAUAAUUGAGUGGAGUUUCAUGCAAUCCUAGAAAUAGGACGACAUAAAUCUACUGGAUUAGAGUCAAAUCUAAUAGGGGAAUACAUAGAUCGAGUUAAUGGGACGAUAGGGGUUUUAAUUAGAAAGAUAUUUCAAUUAAUAAACUUAGAGUCAGUUGUUCUUACUCUCAUAAGAGAUAUUAACAUAAUUUAAGGAUUUAUACGGAUCAAGACAUGAGUGAAUAAAUCAUUUAAUUCAGAUUCAGAAUAAUAGGUGAAGUCUAGGUGGAUUCUUUCUUGGGAAUUGUCUUUCUCAUUGGUUAUUUUUGGUUAUUUUCCUAUUUCAUUCUUUGUUGCAUUUUUAGUUAAAUUAGAUUAGUAAAUUUAGAUUUAAAACAAUCACUCUACUUUCUCCGCUAAAUAAUAGAAAAACGGUAAUUACUAGUACUUUUAGUCCUCGUGGAUAUGAUCUUCCCUACUCACCAUAGCUAUACUAUUGUUCGAUAGGUGCGCUUGUCUUUGUCGUAAUUAUAUAGUUAGUUUAGUAACCGUCAAGACCUUCCCCUUGCUUGAUCCCUCGAGUUAGAAAAAGUUGUUCACCCACCACACCAUUCGUCACCAUAGAAUAAUUGAACGAGGUAACAAAUCGCAUUAUUCGAUCAACCCAAACAUUUGAAAAACUCAUUUUGAGGAGCAUUACCUUAAUAAACCACCAUUCUACACGAUCGUAAGCUUUGCUCAUGUCAAGCUUAAGCGCAAACGUCCCAUGCCUACCAAAACGACUAUUUUUCAGUGUAUGCAGAAUUUCAUAAGCAACCACAAUAUUGUCAAAAUAAGAUGCCCCGGUACAAUGGAACUCUGAGCUUCAUCUAUACAGAAAUGGAGCACUUCUUGAAACCUAUUAACCAAAGCUUUCGAGGCAAUUUUGUAUAUAACGUUACAAAGACUGAUGGGUGGAAAAUUCAUCAUAUUGCAUGGUUCUUUACUUUAGGUAUCAAUGUUUCAAAUCAUAAAUAAAUUGUUUUAUUAAUAAUUUAUCAAAAAUUAAUCAAUUUAAAUAAUUUCAAUAUGAUGUAUUGUUUAUAGCAUAUAUAGGAAGUAACAUGAAAGAAAUAUUUAGUAUUACUUUGUAAGUAAAUAAUUAAAAUACACUAAUAAUAAAAAAUUAAAAUCAAAGGAACUAAUAUAAUAAUGUAUAAGGAAAAAUCCUUAAAUUUAAUGAAUGUACAAAUAAAAUAUAGAGGACUAAUUAUGUAAUAUCAAAAAGUGAAAUACCUUAAAAAAAUAUAAAUGUGAAGGGAUUUAUGUUGCAUAUAUAUCCUUUUCUAUUUCCUUUAAAUACAAAAAUUUAAAAAUACAUCGACUAUAAUGUAGAUAAAAAUUAAGGUUACAAAAUACCUUAAAUAUAACUUGGCUUCUUCUUCUUCUUGGAUAUAAAUACUGUAAAAAAAAUGUUAGAAAAUUAUAAAUUGGUAACUCCUAUAAAUUUUGAAUACAAAGUUCUGUAAAAGAAUAAAUUAAAAUUUCUCAGAUAGUAAAAUUGGACCUCAAUUAAAUUUAGAGUUAGAGAGGCAAAGUUCUUUGACAACUAUUAGAUCUUGAAUAUAAAUUUUAAAAAAUGUUAGGCAAACAAAAAGCACUCACUUAAAAUUGAGGUAUGUCACAUUAUAAAAGUUACAAAUGAUUAAAUUCAUAAACAAAUUUAAAAUUUAUUAUUACCAAAAUUUACAACUUAAACAUGACAAGUUUUAUUAGCACAAAUUCAGACAAUAUUCAAAAACUACUUCACACAAUCCUUAAAAUCUCAAAUAUCAUUCAUAAAUCAUAGCGUCACUUCCAGUUCUGCUCUUAAAAGAAAUUCAGAAAACAAAGUCAUGGGAAAAACUAUUAGCUGCUCUGUUUUACUAGCUUUAAUUUCUUGCUUUUACUUACCAUUUGCCACUGCUUUAGACACCAUAACACCAUCAAAAUCCAUCAAAGACCCUGAAUUUAUAAUCUCCCAGAAUUGUGUUUUCCAAUUGGGAUUCUUCAGCUUGGCUAACUCCAGCAAUCGUUAUGUAGGGAUACUCCACAAUCAAAUCCCCGUACAAACUGUUGUAUGGGUAGCAAAUAGAAACAGUCGUCUCAAAGACUCUUCUGGGAUUCUCAACAUAUCAGAUGAUGGCAACCUUGUUGUUUCCAAUGGAAAAGCUGAGGUUCUAUGGUCAUCACAUGUUACCAAUACAGCUCCUAAUGCAACAACUGCCCAGAUUUUAGACUCUGGAAACCUUGUCCUUAGUAAUGGUGAGGAUGGAGCAAGCAGCUUAUGGGAGAAUUUUGAAGAUCCUUCUAAUGCCUUCAAACUAUGAAGAUCAGCACUAAUGUUGAAAAGGGUCGAAAAGUGGAGAUCAAAUCAUGGAAAAGCCCUGAUGAUCCAUCUGAUGGUAACUUUUCUCUUGGUAUUGAACCUUUCAAUAUCCUAGAGGUCGUCAUUUGGAACAAUAACGAGCUCUAUUUUCGGAGUGAACCAUGGAAUGGGAAUAUGUUUCUUGGCUUAAUGCUUCCGACCACCGUUGAUAUUGAUGGGUUUUCUGUUGUUGCAGAUAAUCAACAACAAACGUUUUACAUGGCUUAUGAAUUUUCUAGUGACUCUAUGUUGAUAUACUUUAAAUUAGAUUCUCAAGGAAAAUUCAUUGAAUGGAGAUGGGAUGCGGGGAAAGGGAACUGGACAAACAAGUACUCUAUUUAUCUUACAGAUUGUGAUGUUUAUGGGAAGUGUGGGGCAUUUGGGAUAUUCGAUUCAACGAAACGACCCAUUUGCAGUUGCUUAGAAGGGUUUAAGGCUAGGAAUAUAGAGGAAUGGAGUAGAGGUAAUUGGAGUGGUGGGUGUUUUAGGACUACCCCUUUGCAGUGCCAAAGGGAUAACAACAAUGGGAGUGGAGCAGGCCAAGAUGAUGAUGGGUUUUUGGAGAUGAAGAUGAUGAAAGUACCAGCAUUUCCGGACCGGUCAUCAAUAAUUAACAGGGACUGCAAAGAUCAAUGCAUGGAUUUCGUGGGCUAGAUUAAGUUUUUGCUAAUUCAAUAGAGCUUUUUGGGCCUUUGACGAGAGUUAGAGAUGACGGACCUAAAGGGACCCUUCGUGGGCAGAUCCAAGAAAUAAGAGCCGAACGUGUGAAGCCCAAGUUGAAAAUGAAAUACCACAUUCAAGCUUCAUUUUUUUACUAAAUGCGCUCAUUAAUGUUUUCUAUGUCGUAAAUUAAAAAAAAAAUAAACUACUUAGUUGAUGAUUCAACUUUUAAGGGUACUUUCAAUGAAAUCUUUAUAAUUUAUUUAUUCAAUUUUUAGGACGCUUUCAUUUUAGUCAUCCAAUCGUUAAAUCUUUAACGGCUGUUAAUUAUACACGUCAUAUCAUGUUCGCACUUUUAUUUUGGUCAUCUAACUUCUAGGUCGUUUUCAUUUGGAUUAACUCAAAAAAUACUUUUUUAAAGUAUUGAUUGUAGUAAAAAAAAUUAAGAAUUAAAGUGAAAAAGUAGUAUAAACUAAAAUAAUGCAUUAAAAAGUGUCAAAUUGUACUUGUUUAUCACAUUGCCAAAAUUUCUAAAAGAAAUUCAAUAUUAAAAUUUUAAAUUUCAAAACAUAAAAAUUAGUUAAAUAACUUAUUGAAAUUAGUUGUAAGGUUUUAGCUUAUUAUGAAAGACUCAGUAUCAUAUAAUUAAAAGAAAUUUGAAUUUCAUGUAUAAUUAUUAAAUAUGAUUUAUUUGAGUUGAUUUUAAUUUGGAAAUAUAAAAUAAAAUAUUAAAAUUUAAAAGGAGAUUAAAUUAAUUAAAUUAAUUAAUUUCAAUAUUAUAAUAAUAAAUGAGUUUUUAUUAGUAAUUUUUCAGUACUGGAUAAUUAUAUUGAACCUCAAUUAAGUUUAGGGCAAAAUUAAGUUGAACUCUAAAAGAGAGGCAAAGUUCUUUAAGAACUAGUAGAUCUUGAAUAUAAUUUUUAAAAAAGGUUAGGCAAAGAAAAGCACUAACUUAUGCCAUAUAGUAUACUGUAAUUGGUAAGAGACCUUUUUUUUCCUUAACAAGACUCGGUCAUUGCUAAAAUAAUUUUGAAAAAAAGGAAUGUGCUUCAUUAGUCAAAGUUAUUCAAUGGAAGAGUCUAAAUUCAUCGGUUUGACAAAAGCUACCUAUAUUAGUCAAAGUUAUUUAAAUGUCGUCUUGGUCUGUAACUUCUGGAAGUUCUAACCUCAAUAAAUUUUAUCAAUAGUUUUUAAUUACUAAAUUAAUUACGAAAGAUUAUCUAGUCAUUUUUAUUUUGCUCGAAAUUUUUAUAAUUUCAUUAUUUAAUUUUUAGGAUGAUUUAUCUUAGUUACUAAAUCAUUAAAUUUUUAAUGGUGGUUAGCUGUACAUACCACAUCAUGUUCACAUUUCAUUUUGGUCCCUUAAAUUCUAAAUCGCUUUCAAUUUAAUCAUUCAAAAAACAUAUUUUCCAAGUAUUAAUCGAGGUAAAAAUUGCUAAAGAGUAAAGUGAAAAAGUAGUAGAAAUUAAAAUAAUGCUUUAAAAAAUUUAAAUAACUUAUUUAAUUAAUUUUGAUGUUUUGAAAUACAACUUACACUAACAGAUAAAUAAAUACAAUUUGAUAAUUUUUAAAGUAUUACUUUCCACUUUAAUCUUUAAUUGUUUUUAAAAUUGCUGCAAUGAAAAGUAAGAAGAAAACAUAAAGAGGUGCUUAGUGCUCCAAGAAAUUUCAAACCUUGAUGUAAUCAUUUGAAGAAAAUUGAGUUGAGUUCAUCUAGUGUAAAUCCUUCAAGAUUCCAAAUAUCAUUCAUAAAUCAUAGCGUCACUUCCAAGUUCUGGGUAGAGAUUAUGGGAAAAACUAUUAGCUGCUCUGUUUUACUAUCUUUAACACCUUGCUUUUACUUGCUAUUUGCCACUGCUUUAGACACCAUAACACCAUCAAAAUCCAUCAAAGACCCUGAAUUUAUAAUCUCCCAGAAUGGUAUUUUCCGAUUGGGAUUCUUCAGCUUGGCUAACUCCAGCAAUCGUUAUGUAGGGAUAUUGUACCAUCAAAUCCCCGUACAAACUGUUGUAUGGGUGGCAAAUAGAAACAGGCCUCUCAAAGACUCUUCUGGGAUUCUCAACAUAUCAGAUGAUGGCAACCUUAUUGUUUUGAAUGGCAAAACUGAGAUUCUCUGGUCAUCAAAUGUCACCAAUACAGCUCCUAAUGCAACAACUGCCCAGCUUUCAAACUUAGGAAACCUCGUUCUCAGUAAUGGUGACGAUGCAGGAAGCAGCUUAUGGGAGAGUUUUCAACACCCUUGUAAUGUCUUCCUUCAAACUAUGAAGAUCGGCGUUGAUAUAAAAACGGGUCGUAAAGUGGAGCUGAAAUCAUGGAAAAGCAUGGAUGAUCCAUCUGAUGGUAACUUUUCUCUUGGUUUUGAGCCUUUCAACAUCCCAGAGCUUGUCAUUCGGAAGUAUAACCAGCUCUAUUUUCGGACCGGUCCGUGGAAUGGGAAUAUCUUUAUUGGCAUAAUAUAUAUGUACACCGUCAAUUUUGAUGGGUUUGAUGUUGUUGCAGAUAAUCCACAACAACCGUACUAUAUCACUUAUGAAUAUUCUAAUGACUUUAGGUUGCUAUACUAUGAAUUAGAUACUCAGGGAAAAUUCAUUGAACGGAGAUGGGAUGCGGAGAAAGGGAACUGGAUAAACAGGUACCCUAGUCAUGAAACAGAUUGUGAUGUUUACGGAAUCUGUGGGGCAUUUGGAAUAUGUGAUUCAUCGAAACGACCCAUUUGCAGUUGCUUAAAGGGGUUUAAGCCUAGGAAUGCAGAGGAAUGGAGUAGAGGUAAUUGGAGUAAUGGGUGUUUUAGGAAUACCCCUUUGCAGUGCCAAAGAGAUAUCAACAAUGGCAGUGGAGCAGGCCAAGGUGACGAUGAGUUUUUGGAGAUGCAGAUGAUGAAAGUGCCGACAUUUCCGUACCGGUCAUCAAUAGUUAACGGUGACUGCAAAAAUGAAUGCAUGAAGAAUUGUUCGUGCGUGGCUUAUGCGUAUGAUGAUGGCAUUGGUUGCAUGUUGUGGAGUGGAGAUUUGAUUGAUGUCAAGAAACUCUCCAGUCUCGGAGUCGAUCUUUACAUUCGUCUGUCUUCUUCGGAACUGGGUAAAAUUUCUGAGUGUCGACAAUGUGUUUGAUAAAUUGCGUCAAUAUCUGCCUUUUUGGUGUUGAAGUUAUUAACCAAGUUUCUCUAUUUGCAGAUAAAGGGAAAAGUAGAAAGGUCAUUGUUAUUACAACAGUAAUUGCGGGCAUAAUAGUUAUUACAAUUUCUGCAGUACUCUUCUUAUGGUGUAGGAUGGCUAAACAUAAAGGUAAUAUAUAUGAAAAAUAUUUAAAUGUAUUUAUAAUUUAUUAAGAAAUUAAAAUUUAGGCUAUGAAUAUAUACACGGAUAUUAAGAUAAAAGGGCCGGGUACAUUCACCAAUAUGGUACUAACUACAUUGAUCUUAUCUCAGGCAGGAAUAAAAAACAAAAACAGGUCAAACACCAAAUUUGUAGGGAAAAUAUAGGAGAAAAUUCAAUUGGAGUUAAACUCCAGCAGCUGCCCAUAUUCAAUUUUGAAGAACUUGCCACCGCGACAAACAACUUCAAUCACGCAGAAAAGCUAGGGCAGGGUGGUUUCGGUCAAGUUUAUAGGGUAAUAAAUAAUGGCGAUUUGCAAAUCCAGUGUCAAUGAAAUGACAUUUUCUUUUUUUCUAUCAAGUCUUCUGAGUUGAACUUUGUGUGCAGGGAAUAUUAGAUGGUGGGAAGGAAAUAGCAGUAAAAAGAUUGUCGAAAUCUUCGGUGCAAGGAUUGGAAGAAUUUAUGAAUGAAAUGGUGGUGAUCUCUAAGCUUCAACAUCGAAAUCUGGUAAGAUUGCUUGGCUGUUGUGUUGAAGGAGAAGAGAAGAUGAUCGCCUACGAAUAUAUGCCCAACAAAAGUUUGGACGCUUUUCUCUUUGGUUAGUAACUUAUUCCAAUCCUUUUUUACCUUUUUUUUUGUGAUUUUUCGCUAUUUUGGACCCUAAACAAGGGACAAAGCUUUCCUAGAAUUAUUUUCUUCAUCCAUAAGACUUGAUCUUAUAUUGUUGCUUAAGGGGAAUUGAAUUCCUUAUCACUCGAUCUAAUAAGCAUUAAUAUUGUUUUCCUUCUCAUUACAACUUAAACUUGGCCUUGACUACCACAUUUACCUAAUCCGAUGAAUCCUACUCAUUUGAUUUGGUAGGUACAAUCCAUAUAGGUUAGAUCUUGGAUAUAAUUUUCUUGAAAAGUUUCAAAAAAUGAAGAAACAUAAUUUCCCAUUGAAAAACCAUUAUGUAAGGAAAAUCUUAUGUAUUUUUAUCGAAAAAUAAACUUCUAAUUUUUUUAAUUUUUUAAAGUUUUUUAACUUUUAAGAAUUAAGACUAAAUUAACAAAAUGUGUAAAGUUAAGGGUUAAAUGUGUUCAAUUUUUUAAAUUUAGGACUAAAUUGAUAGAUUCUAUAAAUAUUGAAGGAUUAAAAUUGUUAUUAUGCCAAAAGGAAAAAGUCACUAUUAGUGAUUUAACACAAGAGUGACCAAAAUAUUAAAUUUCGAUAACAUUAAACAGAAACACACUAAUAGUUGAAUGACUGUCUUUAUAGCUUACCUUUAAAAUUUUAAUAUUUAAAAAUUAAUUAAAUAUUAAAAUCACACAUAUGUCACACUAGAAGUUAGUAAUUAUAAAAUAUAGAAGUAUGAUUCUAAGUUUUUUUUUAAGCAAUAAAAUUGGUCGGCUAGUUGAUUUUGUGCAAACUUGUGUAAGAGGAUAUGAAAAAUAGUUAUGGCUUGGUCCAUGGACAUGUCUGAUGUAAUUAUAUUCUGAGAUUUGAAUGGCAGCAACGUAAUAUUUUGACUCUCUCCAUUGUUCAAUAUUUAUUUCAAUUGAUUGGCAUAACAUCAAUUCUGUCUACAAUCACAAUUAAUACGAUAUGGUAGACAAUACAACAAUGAUUGUAGUUUAGAUCCACUAUUAUAGAAAUUAACUAUAAAUCUUGAGGUCUUAUUGUUUAAGUUUUGUCAUAGAUCCAGCUAAACAAGAUGUUUUGGAUUGGAGAAAACGAUUCAACAUCAUUGAAGGGAUUAGUCGAGGAUUGCUUUAUCUACAUAGAGAUUCAAGACUAAAGAUUAUACAUAGAGAUCUGAAAGCAAGUAAUAUUUUACUCGAUGAAGAAUUAAACCCAAAAAUUUCAGAUUUUGGGAUGGCUAGGAUUUUCGGAGGCAAUCAAAAUCAAGCUAAAACUAAAAGGGUUGUUGGAACUUAGUAAGUUGGAACUUUCUCCUUAUCAUUUAAGUUUAUUCUCUCUCUCUCUCUCUCUCUUUUUUUUUUGGAUAAAAUAUGGUAUAGAUAUAUCUAUUGAUGGAUCAGGUCCGAUGCUUAAAAAGAUUACAUGCCUAGACCUAAACUUAGUUUGGCUUAGUUUGAUCUAUAGACUCAUUUUACCAUUUUUAAAAAUUAAAAUAAUAAAGAAUAUAUUAUUUUAUACUUUUAUUAUUUAAUUUUAAUUUAGACCGACUUAUGAAUAAGUUUAGGCCAGGGUUGUAAUUAAUGUUUUUUAAUGUUAAAAUACAGUGGUUAUAUGUCUCCUGAGUAUGUAAUGCGAGGGCAAUUUUCAGAGAAAUCAGAUGUAUUCAGUUUUGGAGUUCUAUUGCUAGAGAUUGUUAGCGGAAGAAGAAACACAAGCUUUUGCAACGAUCAGUAUGCACUUAGCCUCUUGGGAUAUGUAAGUUUAUAAGAUAAUUAGACAUGUUGGUGGGUUGAAUUAGGGUGUAAAAUACCGUUUUUGCAAGCUAUUCAGGUUCAAAUCAAGAAAACUUGAAUUCUACUAAGUAACUAUUGAGUUGAGCGAUCAUGAGCUGAACUUGAGAAUCUUAAUGCUUGAAUUGGGUAGCUUGCAAGGUGACAUGGAAAGUCCUAAUACUUGAAUUGACUAUAAGCUCUCUUUUUUGCUUUAAAUAUAUAUUCAACAUUUUCAAUUGAAAUUCGAGUUUGACUACAAUAUCGAGUUUAAGUUGAACCUAAGAAUGAAGCUCAAUUUAGACAUAGGUGAACAAGCUUAAGCAAGAAAUUUUGAGCAGUUGGAUCUUUUCAUAUGUUGAAUUGAGCUAAUCAAAAUCUAUUUAGACUUUGUGUUUAUAAUUUUGAGUUGAUUUAGGCUGAAAAGUUUAGGUAUUAAUUUAGACGAAUUUUCUUUUCUAUUCUCAGGCAUGGAAAUUGUGGAGGGAAGGCGAUAUUCGUGGCAUAGUAGACAAAGUGAUUUUAGAGUCAGAAACAUAUUCAAAGAAUGAAAAUGAAAAAGAAAUAUGGAGAUGCAUACAUGUUGGUUUGCUAUGUGUUCAAGAAUUUGCUAAAGAUAGGCCCACUAUGCCUACAGUUGUUUCAAUGCUUAAUAGUGAGAUUUCAGUUCUUAACACUCCAAAACAACCCGCUUUCACUGAAGCACCACUAAUGAGUCAUGAUGUUGAAGAUAGGGUUUCACUUAAUGAUGUAACUCUUACAAACCUUGAUGGCCGAUAAAGAUACAGUUUUAAGUAUUGGAAUUUAUCUUUUAUAUUCAACCUAUUUUUAUCAUUUUAUUUCUAUGAUAAUUGUAAUUUUAUUUGUUCCAUUCUAGUGAAUUUACCAUUAUAUUUGAACAUAGCAGUUUAAUGCCAAAACCGAAAAUUUUUGAUGAAAUUCAAAUUCAAAUUCAAACUCAAUCCAAUUUAAUUUGAACAUAAAAAAAAUUAACAAUUUAAACUUGUUAAAUCCAAACUUAAAAAUAAUUUAAAACUCAAAAUAAUUUAAAAUUAAAAUGAUUCAAACCCAAAUUUGCCUAACCCAAAAAUCUUCCAUUUUUUUUGGUGGAUUCGUUGUUUUGGGUCAAAGCAUCGUUCCAAUAUUGCGGCCAUAAUCUUCCAUGAUAUAGUUAGUGUUAUAAGUCUUCCACUAACUAGUACAGUUCCUCUUAAGUUGGGGAUGAUCUUUCACAGAUCUUUCCCGGCAACUCCCCCGUAUGUCCUCGCGUUUCCGUAAAGAGAUUUUUUUUGAUGUCUUAAAUCAACAAUGUAAUUUUUAAGAAGAAAACAGUGGAAAGCAAAUUAAACUUGCAUUUUGGGUGGAAGAUAAAUGAGUCUUCAAGUCAACCAAAUUAAACGUGCAUGACAAGCUAGAAGUAUUGAUUUCCAUGAUCAAGGUGACAUGCUAGUUGAAUACAAUAUAGGUAGUGAUUAGUGCUUGAAGAAAAUUCAAAUCUUGAUGUAAACAUUUGCAGCUGCCUUGAAAUAUCAUUACAUCAUAUAAAAAAUAUAAGUUAAAAUUAUAAAGAUAUAAAUUAUUAAAAUGGUGAAAUUGCAUUUUAUCUCUCACAAAAAUAUAUAACUUAAUUCUAACGCCUAGAAAAAUUUUCUGAUUUCCCCCAUGAUUAAACUUCUUAUCACUCAGUCCAGCAUGUGUAGCUAAACAAAUAUUCUUAUUUGUAAGAUUCGUAUAAGGAAUAAAUAUCAAAAUUAUGCAUAAAAUUUGAUCUAAUAUGUAAUUUAAUACAUGAACUUUGAUUUGAUGCAAUUAAACACAUCAAAAUUUAGAUAAAUUAAGUUAUUUAUGUAUGUAAUAUAAAAUAAAAAAUUGUGUUAUAUCGAUAAUUAUAUUAAUAACUUAUAAAAUUUAAAUAAAAAAAGUUUUCAUAUAUGAAAUCAUAAAUUUUUAGAUUUAUCCCUAUAGCAAACAACUCCAAGGUGUGGGACAUAUAAGCCAUGCAUGCGUCAUAUCAAACGUACAAAAAAACUUCUACUAAAGAUUGGCAAAUACUAAGGGUGAGUUUAGAUGGGCGGUGCGUUUACCUGCGGCUAGUGUAAAAACAGCGGUGGCGGUGAGAUUAGACACUAUAGCGAUACUGUAGCGUGAGAUAAAAAGUAAACUAAACGCACCGCACCGCACCUAAUUGCCCAUCCAAACCCACCCUAAGUCAAUGUGUCCGUGUGCUGAAAGAAUGUUGAAUUCAAUUAUAAUUCUACAAAUAAUGUACUUGUACGUCCAUAAUAUAAAUAAAUGAACAUGAAAUUACUUUAUCAUGUCAUAUUCCAUGAUUUGCUGACAGGAUCUGUAUCUUCCACCUUCUUUGCUUGGCAAAUUAAGAAAGACCAACUUAAGCUCCAAGCAAGUCUAGUGGGUUCUGUAUAGUAUUCUAAUACUUUAAAUUAUACAUUUAAUUGAUUUUAGUAGUUAAAUUUUAUUAUUAGACUGAUUUUAUGUGUAAGUUGUAACUCUAUUCUUUAGGUUAAUUUCUUUUUAAUCUUUAAAAUUUUUGAAUUUUAAAAUUCAAUCCUAACUCAAACGAUAAUAAUUAAAUUCAUUAAGUAAUAUAAUAUCGUUUUUAUGAGUAUUAUUUGUAAAUAAAAAGUUAAUAUAAUAUCACACAUGAUAAUAUAUUUGUUAUAUAAUAUUUUAAAAAUAAUUAAUCUAACUGCUAUUGUUUGAGUUAUACAUAUAUAAUUUAAAGAAUUUAAUUAUUUUAUAAAUCAAAAUAUAGUCUUAGGUCCAGAAUUCGAGUUUUUGGAUAUCCUAUACCCUGAUUGUAUUUGUGUGAACAUGGUGGCACAUGAGUUGAUUUUUUGGUACUCCAAUGGAAGAAAAAGCCAACAAAAAUAUAGAAAAUUACGAGUAAUUGACACUUCCAGAAAAUUUCCGUAAGUCAAAAUGAGAUUACCUAUAUACGAAGAAAAUUGAGAUGUAGAUCACUAGAUGUAAACAUUUGAGGCUGCCAUGAAACAUCAUUCCACCAUAUCAAAAUCAGACCCUAAAAAAGAGUCAAUUUCUGUAGAAGGUCCCUACCCAAUUUAUAUUUUUUGAAUUUAGUCCUUUCAUAUAAUUAGGUAUUUUUAAUCUCUCGCUUUUUAGAAAUUACAAAUUCAAUUGAAAGAGAUGGACACAAAAAUUGGUUAUACAAAUUAAAAAACUUUUUUACGUCUAUGAGACUUUAUCCAAAAUUUAAUUUAUUAUCAAUAUGCAGUGUAAGAUGUGAUUUAAGUUCAACUUUCUCACCAAAUUGUAACAUCGCUCCUAUAUAUCAAUAUAAGAUCAUUUUCUCCCACUAAGACUUUCCCUUGAAAUCUUAGCAACAAAUGGUUUACAAUAAAUUUACAUUAAGAAUUUCCUAACAAUCAAUAGACAAGUGCUCUCUCAUAAUCUUCUAUAAUGAGACAAACAAGUCUUCUUUAGAUAAGCAUUAAUGCCUAGUAAUUCUUCAAUUGGUGUGAACAUAUAUAUUCCCUUGAAUUGUUCUCGAAUAAAUUUUCAAUAAGGAAUCAAAAUAUGUAAAGAUUUUCGAGGAAUAAACUUCUGUUUCUAUAAAAACUCUCUCUAGCACAAAUAACAUAAAGUCUUUAAAUAGAGCAAUUGCUUGACUGAAUUUCGUCAUGAUCCAUUCCAUUAAAUUGUCGCUUAAAGUCUUCAAUAUGAUGUAAGAAUUAAAUAAAGAUUUUUCAAUAAAAAAUAUGCCAACAUAUUUAUGGUAGGUUGUACAACUUUCCAAUUGCACCUUAUUUUCAAUAUUGACAAUCAACUUUUUUCAUUAAUUCUGUCAAAAUAAUUUAGUAUGAUUAAAUACAUAUUUUGAAAACCAAAGAAAUUGAAAAAAAAAUUGUUGUAGGGACUAAAUCUUCCAAAAAUGUAAAAAUACAGGGACCUUAUAUACUAUUUGACCUUUAUUAAUAUCAUUCAUAAAUCAUAGAAUCACUUCCAAGUCCUGCACAAGUUACACGGUCAUGGGGAAAACUAUUAGCUGCUCUGUUUUAGUAGCUUUAAUAUCUUGAUUUUACUUACAGCUGCAGUUUGGCACUGCUUCACACACUAUAACAGCAUCAAAAUCCAUCAAAGACCCUGAUGUUAUAAUCUCCCAGAAUGGUGUUUUCCGAUUGGGAUUCUUCAGCUUGGCUAACUCCAGCAAUCGUUAUGUAGGGAUAUUGUACCAUCAAAUCCCCCUACAAACUGUUGUAUGGGUGGCAAAUAGAAACAGGCCUCUCAAAGACUUUUCUGGGAUUCUCACCAUAUCAGGUGAUGGCAACCUUGUUGUUUCCAAUGGAAAAGCUGAGAUUCUUUGGUCAACAAAUGUUACGAAUUUGGUUCCUAAUGCAACAACUGCACAGCUUGUAGACUCUGGAAACCUUGUCCUCAAUAACGGUGAGAAUGGAGGAAGCAGCAUCUUAUGGGAGAGUUUUCAACACCCUUCUAAUGUAUUCCUUCAAACUAUGAAGAUCAGCACUGAUGUAAAAACGGGUCGUAAGGUGCAGACGAGAUCAUGGAAAAGCCCUGAUGAUCCAUCUGACGGCAACUUUUUUCAAGGCAUUGAACCUUUCAGCAUCCCGGAGGGUGUCAUUUGGAACAAUAACCAGAUAUAUUUUCGGACCGGCCCAUGGAAUGGUCGUAUCUAUAUUGGUUUAAUAAAUGUUAAUAGAGUUUAUUUUGAUGGGUUUUAUGUGGUUGCAGAUGAUGUAGAAAAAACUUAUUACGAAACUUACGAAUAUUCUACUGACUCUAGGUUGAUAUACUUUGAAUUAGAGUCUGACGGAAGAUACGUUGAACGAAUAUGGGAUGCGGGGAAAGGGGACUGGAUAAACGGGUACUCUAGUUAUCUAACAGAUUGUGAUGUUUAUGGAAAGUGUGGGGCAUUUGGAAUCUGCGAUUCAACGAAACGACCCAUUUGCAGUUGUUUGAAAGGAUUUAAGCCUAGGAAUAUAGAGGAAUGGAGUAGAGGUAAUUGGAGUAGUGGGUGUUUUAGGACUACCCCUUUGCACUGCCAAAGAGAUAACAACAAUGGAAGUGAAGCAGGCCAAGGAGAUGAUGGGUUUUUAAAGCUGAAGAAGAUGAAAGUACCGGUAUUUCCAGACCAGUCAUCAAUAACUAACGGCGAAUGCAAAGAUCAAUGCAUGAAGAAUUGUUCGUGCGUGGCUUAUGCGUAUGAUGCUGGCAUUGGUUGCAUGUUAUGGAGUGGAGAUUUGAUUGAUGUCCAGAAAUUCUCUAAUCGGGGAGUCGAUCUUUACAUUCGUCUGCCGUCUUCGGAACUUGGUAAACUUGUCUUCGAUAUCGACCAUGUGUGUGACGAAUCGCAUCAAUUAAUCUUCACUUUUGGUUUAGAUGUUUUAUUAACCAUGUUUCUGGAUUUGCAGAUAAAAGGAAUAGUGAGAUAAUUGUUAUUACAACAGUAAUUUCAGGCAUGGUCGUGAUUAUAAUAAUUUCUGCACUCUUCUUAUUGCGUAGAAUGGGUCAACAAAGAGGUAAAAUGUCCACCUUUAUUUAUUUAAUCUUUGUAGUCACUUUUUUUAAGAAAUAUGUAAAUUCUUUAACAGUUCUGGAUUUAAAGGUAUUUUUCACUCUAUUUAAAUUCAAGUUUUAGAUAAAAUAAAAUAAAAUUGGAAUAGAAUUGAGUCUAACUCGAAUACGGAGAAAUGCUCUAAACUUGAUUGAGUACUAUUAUAAAAGUUAAAGACCGAAUUCAAGUGAAAUUAAAUUAUUUCAAUUUUGCUCAAUUAAGUUCGUUUAUAUAAGUUACAUAUUCGUAUUUGAUUUUUAUAUAUAUAUUCAAAGUUAAAUUCGCACUCAUUUCAGAUAUAUAUUUAUAUUUAAAUAACGUGGACCAUGUGUUAGAUAAAUUGGGUGAAUUAAUUUGCAAUUCUUUUGGGUCGAAGUUAAUUUCAUAAACCAAGUUUCUGGAUUUGCAGAUAAAGGGAAAAGUAGUAAGGUCGUCUUUGUUAUUACAACAGUAACUGUGGGCAAUUAUGUAGCCUUCAACUCAUUGCUUCUUUGAUUUCCGUCACAGGAAGGAAUAAAAGAUGGACACAUAUCAAAGACAAAUUUCAUGGUGAAAAUAAAGGAGAAAGUUCAAUCGGUGUUAAACUCCAGCAGCUUCCACUAUUCAAUUUCGAAGAACUUGCCACCGCGACCAACAACUUCCAUCCCCUAAAAAGCUAGGGCAGGGUGGUUUUGGUCCGGUUUACAAGGUAAUAUAUAAUAGCAAUUUCCGGUUGUUAGAAUUCAUCAUCACUGGCCCAAAGCCGGAUCGUAAUGAGCUCGUAGGCCAGGCUCGUUAGUCGAGAACUUUGCAAGAAAGCAAGGCAACUUGCGAGGUCACUACAAUCUGACCUAAACCCAUUCGGAUUUUGAGCUGAUGAUGAUAAUUAUCCUAAAACUGGUGAAUCUAGAGUCAAUGAAAUGACAAUUUUUUUUUAAUCAAGUAUUGUAGUCUGAAUUUUGAGUGCAGGGAACAUUAGAUGAUGGAAAGGAAAUAGCAGUGAAGAGAUUGUCGAAAGCGUCGGGGCAAGGUUUGGAAGAAUUUAUGAACGAAGUGGUGGUUAUUUCUAAACUCCAACAUCGAAAUCUGGUUAAAUUGUUUGGGUGUUGUGUUGAAGCAGAAGAGAAGAUGCUCGUCUACGAGUUUAUGCCCAACAAAAGUUUGGAUUCUUUUCUAUUCGGUUAGUAAUUUAUUCAAAUUUUAUAUGAUAUUUUGGGUCUCUAAUCAAAUUCAUAAUUCAGUUCACAAAAAUAAUGUUCUCCCAUAAAUGUUUUUUCCGUUCACAAAAUUUAAAUUUAGGUGUAGUGAUAUUUUGAUUCUCUUCACCGUUUAAUAUUUAUUUCAAUUUAUUGACAUAACUUCAAUUAUGUCUACAAUCAUAAUGAAUACAAUUUGGUAGAAAUACUAUGAUGGUUGUAGUUUAGAUCCUCAAUUAUAGGAAUUCAUUAUUAAUUUAGUAGGUUUUUAUGUUUAAAUUUUGUUAUAGAUCCCGUUAAAAAAAAACUUUUGGAUUGGAGAAAACGCUUUAAUAUUAUUGAAGGGAUCAGUCGAGGAUUGCUUUAUCUUCAUAGAGAUUCAAGAUUGAAAAUUAUACACAGAGACCUAAAAGCAAGUAAUGUUUUACUUGACCAAGAGCUAAACCCAAAAAUUUCAGAUUUUGGGAUAGCCAAGAUCUUCGGAGGUGACGAAAAUCAAGCCAACACUAUAAGGGUUGUUGGAACUUAGUAAGUUGGAACUUCCUUCCUACCAUUUCUUUUUAUGCUCUUUUUAAUAAAAU
rnacentral:lncRNA from 1 species